CCUUCACUUGCGGGCAAGUAAACAUUGCUAACAGGACCAAAACUAUCACCUUGAGGGUGUGGCCUGCUUAGUUCAAUGGCCAGUGGCUUCAAAGUUCCAUCAUCUUGCAAGAAAAGUAUGGUUCUGGUAGCAUAGGCCUUUGUCUCGGUUGCAUUUAUUUUCCUCAAAUAUGGAAAGAGUGGGUCGUGGUGAUCAAGUAUGUACAAUCUAUUGUCUUGGAUAGCCUGUAUGACAAAAUAAAAUUUAGCUACUGUGGUUUACUUGAAUAAAAAAAAUUCAAUCAUGGAGAAAAAUAUUAAUCAAACUAAGUCCAUGAGGUGUCAACCCAGUGGUUAAAGUCGACCUUAUAACCUCAAGGGAUAGAUUUCAAAUUUUCUCCCGGACGAAAUUCACGAACGCCACUUUGGAAAAAAAUAGAACUGAUCAAAUAUGUCAUUACCUGUUCUACGGUGACCCCACCCAUGUUUGGCUCCAAGUUUUCUUUGGUUAUGGUGCUGGUAUUAUCACCAAAUUUUUGGCUAUCUAGCUUGCUCUUUGGUGGAAACUCCUGUAUUAAAUUUAGCAAGCAAUAAUGUCACCAAUUACAAAAAUAACAUAAUGUUUACAAAAUAGUCUUAGUUUUAUUUUUUUAAUUUCUUAACAAAGUUAAACUAUUAGCUUUACCGAAAGUUUUUUGAUGAUGUGUGGGUUCACCCCAGCAAUCAUCUCCCUUGCAAAUUCCUCAUCAGUCUGCCAUGCAGAAUGGUCCACUGUUCAUAUUAAGAAAUUUUCAAAAGAUCCAUUAGAUUUCUUUAUAUGAUUUUGUAUAAAUAUAUUACUGCAAGGACUAGGUAUUAUGAUUAAUAUAUACCUUGAAUCACUUUUGGUGGUGGAAACUUAAGUGCUUGUUCACCAUCAGAUCGGAAAAGUUCCUUGAACAAUGGUAUUGGACUAAUCUGGCUUAGUACAUCAGUAGGAAGCUUAAUUCCACCCUCGUAGAGAGAGCGCACAUCUUGAAAGGUGUUAAACUCAGGGUUAUUGAGUUGUAAUGUAACUACAGAUCUCAGUUGAGGUAUGACAUUUUGAGAUGCUGAUUUGAGUAUGUAAACAAGAAAGUCUGAUGACUUUGUGUGUCCAAAAGAUUCAUCUCUUGGAAGGUAAACAGUGGGACUUCGAGUCUCACUCUUAGGAUCUGUUCAAAUAUAUAAUAACAAUAUAUGUUUUAGAAACAAUACCAAAAUCUUUAGAAUCAUAAGCAGGGUAAACAUUUGGAUCAACCAAAAAAACACAUGUUUAGUCCAAAAUCUGACAGAAGUGUUUGUGGCCUAACCUGUUUUAGUUUUUCUUCUGCCAGUUCUUCCCCUUCGAGGGUAAGGGAAAUCGCUUGAUCCCCCAAGAAUUUGACGCGCCAAUUGAGGUUUCGAGUCAGGCUCACCCAAAUCAUUGUAGACAUCGUAAUCAUAUAUUCUUUCCCAUUCCUUGCGCUCUCCAGUUCCAUCUCCUCUUAAAGUCUUCAAUUCUUCUUGUCUGUAGUACACUAAUGGAGCCGGUGUUUCACUUGGAAGGUAUGUCUACAUAAAUUUAAUCAUUCAAAAUAUCAAGUUUUAGGAAAUAGGCUUAAUAUUCAGCAAGCUAUAUAGUUAUUAUGAUAAAGUGGAUUUGUGAUUUGAGACAUCAGAAAGAGAUUGGGAGUUGCAAGUUCUCAACUCCCUCUACUCGCAUUUCUAAAAACUAAUUACUAAUAUUUGUCGUUAUAAUAGAAAUAACAAGCUACAUGUGUAAUAGAAUUUUUAUUCUUACCUUGUUGGCAAAGAAGAUGCGGUCGGUUUUGUACUUUUUAGAAUUGUAAAUCCAUGAGUUGCAGACAAAGUGGAUGGAUCCAUGGUUUGGAACAUCUUCAAGUGUCAAACUCACAAGGAAGAAUUCACCUUGCAUAAAAUUAUCGAUGUAAAAAGCUCCGGGAAUUCCCAUGUUACUGUCCCAUUCAAAAUGAAUACUGAAAGCAUUUUGUUUGUCUCCCAAUGUUGGUAUGGAGGUAAGAAGACCUUCCAGAAAUGUUUCCUUUCCCACUUUUCCUUUUCCAGCAGCUAUAUUAAAAAUGUCAAAUAUUAUUAGUUUCUCAAUUUCACUAAUCCAUGAUUUUCAAAGUUUAAUUUUAUUCUUUUACAGAUCCAUUUUUCUUUUUACAUGAUCAUCAUCCAUCUUGCCUGAGUUAUAUCGAAGGGAAAUAAUUUCAAUAUUUUAGUGGUAAUUGAUUGUACCUGAUCAUUUAUAACCAAUAUUCUACAUCAAAAUCUCCAUUGCACAUUUUUAAUUUAAUAAAAAAAACAAAAGGGAAAAUAAGGUAAAUCUUAAUGGAUUGAUGUAUCAAAAACUCUUCUUGAAUAAUAGGCUGGCUUGGUGGUGUGGUGGAAGAGUUAUGGAGUAAUUAAUGCAGUCUGAGUUCAAUUCUUACAUCUAGCAAAAACUAACAACCGACAUAAUACUCAUUCGAUAUUAUUUAUAAGAAAUAAUGAAUUUUUUGAUUUAUUGAAUAAUUAAUGUAUAUGAUAUAUAUUCUAGAUCGAAUACAUAAAUUAUUCAAUGAAUCUAAAAAAUUAAUUAUUUCUUAUAAAUAGGAUUGGAUGAAGUAAUAUUUAUUGCUUAAAAAAAUAAAACUCCUCAAUAUUUUGUUGUUAAAUCAGAGAUAUCCUCCACGUGCAAAUGUCUGUCACUUAUGUUAUGUCACACAAUGUUGGUAAAAGAGUCUAAGUAAAGAGAUCAUAGAAGUAUGAAAAGAAGCAAUUUUAAAUAGAAAAAGAUAGUAGAAUUUACAAUUUUAAAAAUCUAAUAAGACAGAAGUUCAAAUAUAAAGUAUAUAGAUGGGGAUGUCAAAUUUUAAAUAGCUUAUGGUACAAGAUUAAUUUAAAAAAUUUAAGUGAGCAUGUGCACCCAUCACGUAGAUCCAUACAUACCAAAUGACAAAGAUAAAGUCCAAAACAGUUGCCAAACGCCAAAUAUCACACUUAUUUGCAUUAUAUAUACUUCUUUUUUUACAAAACCAUUAGAUAUACUCCCUUUAAUAUACAUUGGAUAUAAGUUUUUAUAUAGUCAUUUUUUAUUCCAAUAGUACUAUUUUUUCCAUAUCAUUUUAUUACUUAAUCAAAUGUCCAAAUUAUUUUAAAUAGUUACUUAAAUAAUUUCAUAAUUUCUUUAUUUUAAUUAAGAAGAGACAACGAUGAAAUUUUUGUCUGUCAAGUAAGGAUAUAGUUUUGCAGUUAAUAAAAGAAUAUAAACACAAUUUUUUUCUUUUCAUAAAUUUCAUCAAAGAAGGUAAUCAAUCUUAUUCAGAAUCCGUCGAUCAGACACUAAAUGUGAUACCUCUCUCAAUCAAGAUUCUAAAAUCAUUCUCGUCCGUUAGAUCCAAUUACUUCCAUUGGUGUACACAUAAUUUAAAUAAGUUAUAUCAAUCAAUUAAUUAAAAUGCCUAUUUCUUGUAUGAAUUAAACAUAGUGAGAAAGGUCCUCGUGAACUAGCUCAAUUGAUAGAGACAUAUAAUAUAAUAUAUGCAGGGGUUGAAGUCCGAACCCUAAACAUCCGACUUCUCCAUAUUUAAAAUGUGUGAGCUCCCGUCACUGGGUUAAUUGACAAAAAGAAAAAUAGAGUGAGAAAGAGAAAUGAGUUAUUACCAUCAGCACUUGUAGCACUAAUCAACCUGAGAGCUAUAGAACGUCCCAAGAAGGAAGUGGCAGUAUCAAGUAUAUUGCCAGCAACAUCACCAACAAUACCAAAGGCACCACCAAUGAUACCAGUAGGGCUUUUAGCAGCAGUGAGGGCGUUGAUAUCCAAAGUAUUCUUUUGCAUCAACACCACAGUUCCCUUCAACUUUUGGCCUCUAUCAAAGAGACCUGUUACACCAGAAAACAUCUUUGAAUAUGCUUUAAAUGUAUUACACUAUAUAUGGUAAAUGAAAGAAAGGCUUGUGUCUUGUAACCAUAGGGGUGGUUAGUAUUUAUAGUAGUUGAUGAGAUUAGGAUCACAAUGUUAUAGUUCAAAUGAGGUGAUAUUUUUAUUCAACUACUCAUUUACAACAUGGUGGAAUGCAAUUGGUCACGUCUUAUGCUAAUUUUUUAUUAUGAGUGAUUAUCUCGUGGUAUAUAAAAUAAUAAUAUAUCCGAUUGCAAAAUUAUUUUGGUAGUUGUUAUAUGUGCCAGCCUUGGCAUUAUGUUCAAUAAUAAUGACUCUGUUUGCUCUAUUGUUAAUUAUUACUACUAUCUUACGUGUCUGCAUUGGUUUUCUCGAGUUUUCUCAUAUUUUUUAAAGUGGGAAAAUCUCUACCCUUAAAAUUCAUUUCUUUCUUAUUUUAAUUUCAAAAUCUCUCCUCUUUUUUUUUUUUUUUUUUUUUUCUUUUUCUUUUUCUUUCUCUCAUACUAUCAAAUCAAGAUUAGGAUUGGACUUGAGAUACAUUUGCUUAGUCACAAACAUAAAAAUGAGUCAUUUAACACACACAAUGUAAUAAAAAAAAUUGAUUUGGUGUUGUGGUCUAAUUUAACACUUACUAUAUAAGUAUUUCUCCAUCCAAAGAUGGAUCCAAAAAUCUAUUAGCAAUUUUAGUUCACGGCCUAAUUUAUUCUCUUGUUUGGGAGUCUUUUGUAACAAUUUUUGUUUUUUUAUUUUGGGUUGACGGCAAGACCUUUGUCUUUUGAUGUAACUAUACUCUUUUUCCUUGUUCUUUUGGCACUUUCUGUGCUGGAAUAGCAGAUAUUUUUCAAAUAUAAGCAAUCAACGUUUGUUCUAGGGCGCUCUAUAUAUGGAUAAUGUUAUCAGCCACGUUUUUGACAUUUGCAUCAAUUUUUUUCUUUAUAAAUGAUGAAUAAGACAUGUAUUACUAAUGAUGGUUGAUAUUCCAGCUAUCAUGGAAUCCAAGUCGCCAUAGUACAAUGUUUUUAAAAUCCCAGCUAUGUUGGCAACCCAAAACAUCGUGUGUCAAAUGCGCCACAUCUUAUAUAUUAUUAAUAAUAAAAAAUACAAAAACGAAAAAAGUUGAGUUAAACUCAACAAAGCUAAUUAAAAUGAUAGGUAUGCAUACCAAACCUAUCUAAAAAAACCACUGAUAAUAAAACUAGGACAUAUAUACCACCAUUGAAAAUCUCCAAUUAGUUUACAAAUAUCAACGAAAAAACUUCUCCUUUUCCUCUUGUGACAUAGAUGAUCUCCAGUAGGUUUCUGCGUUUUUCCUCUUCAGUUUCGUGUUUUGCUGCUUGCGUUGGGGGUGUGAAAAUUAAACACUGAUGACUUGUGAAAAAAAGAAGCAUAAAGGGCUGCUGGACUAAAGUCUGAUAAUUGUUGGUCCCUCUAUUAUUUUUGUUAUAUACACCCCUCUAUAAACGAUUAUUGUUAUAUACACCCUCGUAUAAAAAAAUUAGGUCCCUAAAGGCAUGGGCCCUAGGCUGCCGCACCCCAUCCUAUAUCUAUGGCUGGCCCUGAAUGUUAUCGUUGUAAUAGAAGUGGUUUAAUAUAUAAAAUGAAAGACAUAAGGUAAAUAGGGUAAUGUUGCAUUAAAAAUGGAUGUUGGUAAGGCAUGUGGCAUUGAUAGGUCAUUUGAAAGAAAUUUUGAUGAAGAUGAGGUUAUGUCAGUAGUGAAUGAACUAGAUAAUGAUGUGUAUUAAAAUGGUGGAUUAUUCCAUUAUUGUUAACAAUGAAAUCACAUGACCAAUCAUACUCGGACGAGGCCUUCAUCGGAGAGAUUCUUUGUCUCAUUGUUUAUUCUGUGUGCAGAAGGCCUAUGUGCUCUUAUUAAGUAUGUCGAGGCUAGUGGAGAGCUUCAUGGGGUCAAAAUUUGUCGAAACACUUUGAUUAUUACUCGAAUUUUAUUUGCAGAUGACUACUUUCUAUUUUUCAGGGAAGGUGAAGCGCCGAGACUCAAAAUAUGAAGCAAAUUUUGAGGUUGUACAGAGCAACGUCUGGAUAUUACAGCUUAAAUGCCCAACAAUCCCUUCAAAAUGCUUUUACAACAACCUUAGGGGGGUCAGGCGGUGUUAUGCACAAUGAAGUACAUCGGACUACCCUCUAUGAUUGGUAGAAGAAGGAAUGUUACGUUCAGCUUUCUCAAAGAUAUGACUGGAGCAACAAGUAUUUGUGAAAGGAAGAUAUAAUGAUAAAAACAUGUACUGCAAGCAAUACCAUCUUAUGGAAUUAGAAUUUUCUUACUUUCUACCAUGUUCUUUGAUGCCAACGAAAAGAUUAUUAACACGUACGUACUGGUGGGGUCAUGGUGGUUCCACAAUUAGAGGUAUUGACUGGUUAUCAAGGGACAUGCUUGUUGUCUACAAAUUUUUUGGAGGUUUGGGGUUUAAAUACUUGACGUCAUUCAACUAAGCAAUGUUAGGAAAACAAGAUCGGAAAUUCCACACACACUUGGACUGUUUGGUAUCAAGACUGUUCAAGGCGCUCUAUUUUCCUCAUGGAAGCUAUCUAGACCGAAAGUGAUGACAGAGCACUAUAUGACAUUUUGGGCUAUGUUUUUAGUACUUUUAUUUGCAUUUGAAGACAUAUAAGUUGAGAGAUAGAGGAGUUGUUAAUGGUUUGGGAAACAUAUUGUAUUGUUUUCAAUCGAGCCGUUGUUCUUGAUGCUUGACAGUUUAAGGAACCUCUAGGGUAUGUUUUUUAAACAUCGUUGUUCCUUGAUUGAGGAACCUCUAGAUAUUUCAUGAAGUGUAAUUCCUUUAGAUGACAAUUUAAGAGUCACACGGGAUGUUGCAGUCAAAAGAUGUGAUCAUGGCUUUCAUAAUUGAGUUAUGGAUAAAACGACAUCUGUAGGAAUAUUCUCUCUAUAGUAAACCACCGUUUAUGUAAUUUUUAGGUUUUAAUUAAUAGGUACUUUGCAUUAAUCCAACAAAGAGGGAAGAGGGAAGAGGGGAUUCAAGGAUUCCCUAAUCACCGUUAUACAUCUAAAUCACACAAACAUAAUCUUUCUUUGGAUAGGGAAAUUUAACCAUGCAAAUCUUUUUUUCAUCUCUUUUCUAUUUUCUUUCUAAUAAGUUUUGCUAAUUACCGAAAAACUUGCUACUUUAUUAAUUGUUAUGAUUUGGUGCACUUGCCAAUUUCGUCCUUCAGAAAGCUUGGACAUAAAUCAAAGCUUUAGUUGGAGAAGAAUAUUUACCGCUAAGAGAGUAGUACAAAAAGUUGCUCGGUGGAAGAUCAGAUCGGGUACAAAGUUUCAAUUUUUUAUGCUUUGUGGGUAAAAGAUGGGACAAGUAUUCUAGGAGAUGGUCAACCUCUCAAGGUAAUUCAACAGGCUAAAGUGCACAAUCUCGUUGAUCAAGAAUUUCCCGUAUAGAACAAUCAUAUUGUAAACCAGUGUUUUGAUCAACUUAUAAAUGAGCUCAUUCUGAGUACUCCUUUAAUUGAGUCUGUUAAAGAAAGAUAAAUUAAUUUUUAAAUCAAAGAAAAAUGAACAUUACUCGGUAAAAAUUGUGUACAAGAUUUAUACAUAAAAUAGUGCAGGCAACUCAUAUUUAUGUCAGUAAGGUCAUUGGCUGGAAUUUAGAAGUUAAAGGUGCAUCCCAAAGUGAAGGAUUUCAUUUGGCUGAUUUAUCAAGGUUGCUUACCGACGCGUGUAAGGCUGAAAGAUCGAAGUCUCCAUUGUCUGUCUAUUUGUAUGAUGUGCACCGGUAACUAUGGGGAUGCAAUGCAUAUAUUGUUUGAUUCUCCGUAAAUAGGAUAUGUAUAUAUUUUUCUCAAGUGCAUUAAUUUUAUCAUUCAUAGCUCCAGCCCAGUUUAUAUUUUUAAAUGUUUCUUCAAUAGAUGAUUUGAUUCUCACAUAAUCAACGGCAACAAUAAAACUUUGAUUGUGUGGAAAGUUGUUUAGUGGAGACAUAUUGAGAAAUAUGUAUGAUAUCUAUAUAUAGAGGGACAGAUCGAUAACAUUUGCAAUCAUCUACAACAGGCCAUGUUACCCAAGAACAAUCAUCAAUAAAAGAAACAAACCACCUUGCCCCAUAAAUAUUAGAAACAACAAGAAAUAUUAGAAACAGGGGCCGAUCGGCAGACAUCAAAAUGAAUAAGAUCAAAUGGUUCAACACUUUUACGAAGAUUCAACGAAAAAAGUGGUAUGUGUACGCUUAUAAAAUGGAUAUAUAUAUCACAUUUAAAAGACUAAAUCGAUUGCAUUAAAAAACAAAGAUGGAAACAUAAACUUCAUUAGUUGAAAAUGAGGAUGACAAAGACGUUUGUGCUGAAGCCAAAUUUGAGAGGCAGAAUAAGACUCUGACUAAGACUGAAGUGCAGAAGACAACACCUUCUGAUCAAUUCGUGCAUCAUACAAAUAAUAUAGCCCUCCUUGUUCCUAAGCAACUCCAAUCGUCUUUCCCAUUACAAGAUCCUCGAAAGCACAAUGUGAAUCAAAAAAUAUUACUGCACAAAUAUUAUCCUUUAUAAGCUUACGAACAUAGAUAAGGUUAUUCCAAAGACAAGGAACAUGAAGCAUAUCUUUCAACUUAAAAGGUUCAAGGUUAAUUUCUCCACAACCAUCUACACGAGUAUGAGAACCAUAUGCAGCCGCAAAAAAGAAUGUCAUAUGAAGAAAUUUACUUCAAAAAGGCCAAGAACCAAUGUCAUAUGAUCAAUAGCACUAUAGUCAAUAAUAUAAUCAACAUUUCAAGCAAAAACCACAUAUAACUAUUUUCAGUCACAUUGGCUGAUAACUACAAAAGAAUCUCCUCAAAAGAACAACAAAAAGAAGAGGCUUCAAAUAACAAAAAAUAGGCAACAAGGUAAAAACCGUAAGUCGCAACAACGUAAAAUCACCAAAUAAAAGUCAAACUGAAUCACAAAGGGUCCUCAAAGAUGCUGGUAGUCACAAACAAGCACAAAACAACCGCUAUCAAUCAGUUAGUGUCAAGAGUACCCACGUAAAAUAGUAUCUUGGUCUUGGAUCAAGAUUUUGACCCCUUAAACGAACCAAUUAUGUGAAGACUAUAAUUUCUAGGAAUAAAUGGUGUCGAAUGGUGGUUCACAAGGUGGCAUGUGCAUCGCACUUGAUGGAGCUUCACUUUAGAUUGGGCCUCUGCUCUCAACUUCUCAAGUUCUUCUUCAAAAAGUAUUUGAGAACAAAUUUUUAUAGCCCUUUCGUUUAAAAAAUCUUUUUAGUUUUGCCAUAUUAGUUGAUGUAUGAUUCUUUAACUGUAUUUACAUUGGAAAAACAAUUGGCAGUGGAAAUAAAAUCAUUAUGAUCUAUUAUUGCUUUUUCAAUGUUAUCAUUUUUUUGUCAUGCUAUAUUGCAUAUUUGCAUUGAGAGCUUUUUUGUCAUGAAAUAAAAUAUGAAGUUUGCAUUUUAUAUACAAAGUAAAUCACACAACAAAAUAGAAACAUAGUAACUUUUAUUGAUGAAAUACAUUAUAACAAUCAAACAUGAUAGUUUUUAUUGAUAAAACACAUUACAGAAUUAAAAACAAACGUACAUAAUAACAUAACAUGACGAUAUACAUAGGGGGCGAGGGAAUUGGAUUCCUCCUCCUCUUUUAUUAAUAGCGACAACGCAACAACCACGACGUUUUUUAGAUAGAGACACUGUUGGGAAUGCCUCUGCAAGUCAAUCCUUCCUCACUAGAAGGAUAAAGCAGAGUGUAAGGCAUCUUCACUGGUCCGUUACGAUUCCUCAGUGUCUCAUCAUUGUUCCUUUGAAUGAGUUUUUGCUCAAUUUCAGCCAACUUCUUUCCAAACCUCUUAAAGGACUCUUUUGGCUGUGAAUCAGAAGUCCAGAGAUCACCUUCAAUUCUCUCUCCAAGGUAUUGCUCAUCAGAAGCAUGCCUUGACAAGACUUCUAUAAUGGUCAAGUCAGUAAGAGUAUCAUUCUUGGGUGUUAUUGUCCUCAGAUAAGACUUCUGGUAGUCCUUAGCAAGCUCAUCAUACUCAGGGGAUCCCUGCUCAGGCAUGAAUCUUCUACUUUUAGUUGGUCGGUUAACGAUAUAUCCUCCAUACGGAUAUUGUCCAAAAUUAACUGCUGCAUGAAGUGCUGAAGCAAUCCAUAUGAGGGUGGUGCAAGCUUCAAUCAACUCCUCACGAGUUUGCAUCUUAAACCACCAUGUAGCAUUCUUCAAGUCACCAUGACCGACCUCUACAAGUUCUUUCCAGAAUGCUUGGAGUUCAGAAUCUUGUGCAAUAGAUGCAUCUGACUUGUAGUAGAAAUUGACAUAUUCAUCAACCCAUGAUUUAAUAGCAGCCCAUAUUUCUAGUCCAUCUGAAGCAUAAGGGUAGUCCUCUAUUAGAAGUCGAAGACCAUAUGCUGAAGUAGGGUCCUCAACGGCCACUCCUCUAUAGAACAAGCAAAGGAAGAUAACAUUAACAUACAAAAAAAAAAGAUAGUUAGGAAAGUUACUUAGAGUUUGUUUGAUUGGUAGUUACUUUGUUGAUUCUCUACUAGCUCUAUACAUGGCUACAAAGUCAAACAUUUACCAUUGAACUGAAACCGUGUGGUAUUAUACUUGAGAUCAAUAUCUUUUUAAAAAACGGACUGAGUCAAGAUGUAAUGUUUUGUAAGGUUACCUUUUGAUUAGAUCAUUAGGUAGGCCUUGCUCAGUGAAAACCCAAUCCUUGUAAACGACAGAAGACAUUUCCAAAGCAUACUUUCCCCACAAGAAAGUUGACUCGAUAAUACCCUCGGCAUUGACCAACACAUUUCGUGCUAGUGCAUUUAUGUUCAUCGUGUCACGAUAAUGUGGAAGCAGAAGUUUAUGAAUAGGGUGAACCACACUUAGAUGCCUAUUUGUUGCUAUGACGAAUGGCUCAACUACAGCAUGAGUGUUCAACCUGUCACACAUUGUAGAUAAAUUUUCAUCAAAUUACUCAUAGAUGUAUAAAAUUUAUUUGAUUGUUUAAAUAUCAUAAACGAAAUUCAUACCAAUGGCUAACAAGUUGGUGAUAACAUGAAUCAUUUACAAUUACGUAAGCCUUGGCAAGGAGCCAAAUUGAAGCUUCAACACCUUCACUUGCAGGCAAGUAAACUUUGCUAACAGGACCAAAACUAUCACCUUGAGGGUGUGGCCUACUUAGUUCAAUGGCCAAUGGCUUCAAAGUUCCAUCAUCUUGCAAGAAAAGAAUGGUUCUAGUAGCAUAGGCCUUAGUCUCGGUUGCAUUUAUUUUCCUCAAAUAUGGAAAGAGUGGGUCGUGGUGAUCCAGUAUGAACAAUUUAUUAUUCUGGAUAGCCUGUUCCACAAAAUAAAAUUUAGCACUGUUGAAUUAUUUUUUUAGAGUAAAGUUGUUGAAUUGGGUAGAGAUUUACCUGUUCUACCGUGACCCCAACCAUGUUUGGCUGCAAAUGUUCUUUGGUUAUGGUGCUGGUAUUAUUACCAAAGAGUUGGGUAUCUAACUUGCUCUUUGGUGGAAACUCCUAAAAUAAAUGUACGAAGCUGUGGUUAAUUAAAACUUAUAAACAUGGCAUGAAAAGUGGGAAAAAUAGCAUUUGUUAGUUUUUCAGUAUUUUCUUAACAAUGUUAAACCAUUAACUUUACCAAGAGUUUUUUUAUGAUGUGUGGAUUCACCCCAGCAAUCAUCUCCCUUGCAAAUUCCUCAUCAGUCAUCCAUGCAGAAUGAUCGACUGUUCAAAAUUAAAAUUUCAAAAGAUCCAUGAACUUUAUUUCUCUGAUAUAUGUUAAUAGUAAUAGGAAUGUGUGACUAAUUAAUAUAAACCUUGAAUCACUUUUGGUGGUGGAAACUUAAGUGCCGCUUCACCAUCAGUUCGGAAAAGUUCCUUGAACAAUGGUAUUGGGCUAAGUUCACUUAGUAUAUCAGUAGGAAGCCUGAUUCCACCUUCAUAGAGCGAGCGCACAUCUUCAAAGGUGUUAAACUCAGGCUCAUGGAAUUGUAAUGUAACUAUAGAUCUUAAUCGAGGUAUGACAUUUUGAGAUGCAGAUUUGAGUAUGUGAACAAGAAAGUCUGAUGACUUUGUGUGUCCAAAUGAUUCAUCUCUUGGGAGGUAAACAGUGUCACUUCGACUCUCACUCUUAGGAUCUGUUCACAAAUACAAUAACAAUGUAUGUUUUAGAAUCAUAAGCAGAGUAAACAUUUGUAUCAACAAAAAGACUUAGUAAACAACAUCAGGGAUAAAAACAUUAGUUGUCAAGUAGAAUACAAUUUCACAUUUUAGUACCAUAUCACUUAAUUUUUGCCAGAAUUUCUUAAAAUAUAACAUACUCAAGUGUUAAGAUAGAACGUAAAGUUAUAACCUUUACGAGCUGCUUUCCUGCCGGUUCUCCCUCUUCGAGGGUAAGGGAGGGUGCUAGAUCCUCCAACAACAGGACGAGCCAAACUAGCGUUCUUGUCCACAUCACCCAAAUCAUUGUAGACAUCAUAAUCAUAUAUUCUUUCCCAUUCCUUACGCUCUCCAGUUCCAUCUCCUCUUAAAGUCUUCAAUUCUUCUUGUCUGUAGUAGACUAAAGGAGCUGGUGUUUCACUUGGAAGGUAUGUCUACAAAAUUGUAGUCAUUGAUUGUGUCAAGUUUUUGGAAAAGAGAAUUUAUAGUCUAAAAAAAUAUUUAACAAGUUAUACAUGUUGGAUAUAAUUUAUAAAUAUUCUUACCUUGUUGGCAAAGAAAAUGCGUUUAGUUUUGUAAUUUUUAGCGUUGUAAACCCAUGAGUUGCAAACAAAGUUGAUGGUUCCAUGGUUUGGAACAUCUUCAAGAGUCAAGCUGACAAGGAAGAAUUCACCACCUUGCAGAUAAUUCUCAAUAUAAAAAGCUCCUGGAGUUCCCAUGUCAUUGUCCCAUUCAAAUUCAAUACUGAAAGCAUUUUGUUUAUCUCCCAAUGUUGGCAAGGAGGUAAUAACACUUGCCAGAUACGUUUUCUCUCCCACUUUGCCUUUUCCGGUUUUUCCUAUACAAAAAUUGGACUCUCAAUUUCACUGAUGAUGAUUUUAAAUAGUAGUAACACGUUAUAGCUAUUCCAAAAUUUGAUGUUUUUUACAGCUCAAAUGUUCUUUAUACCUACUACAUAAUUUCUCAACAUCCACUUGCCCUUAAUUAUAUCAAAUUGAAACUAAAUUUUAAUAUUUUAGUGGUAAUUGAUAGUAACUGGUUAUUUAUGAAUAAUAUUUGGGUAUUGUUAAAAUAAGAUAAAGAAGUUGUUACCAUCAGCAACGGUAGCACUAAUCAGCCAGAGAGCCACAGAACGGCGGAACAAGGAGGUGGCAGUGUCAGCUACAGUACCGGCAGCAUCACCAACAAAAUCGAAGAAACUGUCAACUACACCACCGGCGCUUUGAGCUGCAGUGAGUUCGUUGAUGUCUAAGACAUUCUUUUGCAUCAACACCACAGUUCCCUUCACCUUUUGGUGCUUAUCAAAGAGACCUUUCACCAAUGAACUCAUCUUUAAUGCUUAAAUGUAUUACACUAUCUUUGGUAAAUGAAAGAAAAGCUUGUGUUUUGUUACCAAGGGGAUGCUUAGUAUUUAUAGUAGUUGAUAGGUGCAAGGUUAGUUCAAAAGAAAUAAUUGUUUAUUGUUCAUUAUUAUAUGUUUUUUACAUAAUUAAUUUACUAAAUAACAACACAUUUAAAUGAAGAUGGGUAAUAUAAGCUGGCACAUUACAUAAAUAACUCUUACCAAAAAAAAAAUUACAUCAAUAACUGAUAUCUACGUGUUUUUUUGUUUCUGUCACUUGAGUGCGAUAUUUUUUGUUCGUCAUCUUGAUGCAUUGUUGUUUGAUUUUUUGUUUUGUUGUGAUGUUCUUUUAAUUUAAAUUCAGUCAAUGACUUUAGCUCUAACAUUAAAAAUUUGGAGGGAUAAAUAUUAAGUUUACUUUGAUUUUGUGACUUUUAUAGACAUUUUGUUACUUUAUGUUAUUAAUUUGGUUUUUUCUAGAUUACCUUUGAAGAAUGGUGGGUAAUUUACCCACCAACCAAUGAAAAUGAGCAAUUUAUUGGUGGGGUCAAUAUAGUUCAUGGAUACCACUUAAAAAUGUGCUUAUGUGGCUAAUGUGUAUUGGUUGGGAUAAAUUACCCACCAUUCUUUCAUGGAUACCCUAGUUGUCACCUAUUAAUUUACAUGUUGUGGUUUUAUUCUCAUGUUUAACUUAAAUCAAUUCAGCUACUCAAUCUCCUAUAAUAUUUUCCACGUGUUCUAUUAAUUUGAACUGAUGACUGUUUUGGUUAGUAAGAAAAAGCACGUUUAAAUGCAAUUGGGGCACAAUCUUAUGCUAAUUUUUCGAUGAUUAUCUUGUUUUAUAUUAAUAAUAUAUUCGUAGGUUUCAUUAUUAUUUAGAUUGUUUUAUGUAUUGUUAAUUAGGUACUGACCUGUAUGCAUUGGUAGUUUCGAUCAGGGUUGAAAUAGAUGGCCGUUUGGGACCCCAUCUUAGGAGGGACAUAAAUAUUUUUAUAAUUAGAAAAGUAAAACCAUAUGUACUUAAAAAACUAUAAAAAAAUUUGUUAAUGUUAACGAGUGGUUCAAAGACACUUGUUAAUUAGGUUACUGGAAAUUAGAUCUCAAGUUCACAAAAGAACAAAUUUCUAUCCACUUUUCAAUUCACUCAAACUAACAAUGAAUCCUAAGAGAAAACAAUAAAAAAAACGUUUUGAUCCUUUUUCUAAUGAGAUCUCACUGUUAAAGGUGUUUGUAAAGUGUUUCACUUUUCCAAGAACCUCAUCCAAAGACAUUAAACCAUAAAGUUCCCUUUGAUUUUUCCUAAGUUUAUCUCUCUUGAAGCCACAUAUUAAAUUGAAGAAUGAAGCUUUUUAUAGAACUCAGACUUAGAUAAUGAUUUUGUUUGGAUAAUGCCACGAUUUCGAGCUCGAACACAGUAAUGCACUAAACCUUAUCCUCAAAGUGCGUCAUGAUUUUCUCCCUUCAGACUGCAAAAUAAUGCGAACCAAACCUCAAAAAGUCUAAACCAAAUUGCGUCAUGAAUUCUUCAAAUCGCGCCAUGAUUUUUGACGAACUUCAACAUUAACUUUGAGCCAAUUUUAAAUAUUUCUCAUCCUUAACUCUAAAUUGUUGGUGAUGUCAUUUUAACCAUCAACAACCUAAAUGCUAUCUCCAAUGAUAAAUUAUUCUUCAACAAAUUUAAUCAAGUUCAAGCAAUCCUUGAACCUUGAUAUAGACAAUAACUUGGUGAACACAUCUGUCGGAUUUUCUUCCGUAGCAACUUUCUCAAUCAUAAUCUAUUUCGAUUCAAUCAUGUCUCUAACGAAGUGCAAGCGAAUGUCAAUGUAUCUUCACAAUGUAUCACAAUACACUUGAAGAUAUGUCAAAUGGAUGACAUUUUGGCUUUGGCUAUCACAAUGUAUCUUCACACAUAUUUGAGCAAUUCCUAACUUAUAUAUUGUUGUAUAUUAAUAAUAUAUCCCUGUUCCAGAACUAAAACAGUAGUCUAAACUGUUUUUUAUGUCAUCUAAAGAUCGUACCCAAUCACUAUCAGAGUAACCUUGCAACUUGAAAAUUUUCCAUCGAUAGAACUUAAUGCCAUAAUUUAAGGUUCCCUUGACAUACCUCAACACUCUUUUUUCUCCUUUGAAAUGAGAUUCUUUAGCACAAUUCAUGAAUCUUGAAAGAACAUUUACAACAUACGAAAUAUUUGGUCUUGUAGUUGUAAGAUACAUUAAGCAUCCAAUUAAACUUCGGUUGAGUGUUUCAUCCACGUGUUCUUCUUCAACAUCCCUUGCAUCUCAAAUUCUCGAAUGAAAUUAAGCGCUUGCAUUCCCCUAAUUCUUUCAUCUCCUUCGUAUUCAGUUUUGAGGAAAUUUCAUAUUUCAAAUGCUGGUUUGAUGGUCAUAAUUUUGGUUAAGAUUUCUUCUGAGUCAUCAGCAAAGGAAGAACUUCGUAGUCCUCCUCAAGAGCUUCGCAGAGGUCAUUUGCCUCUAAAUACGCCUCCAUUCCUGCUGCCCAUAUAUGAUAGUUUUCACCAUCAAACACAGAUAAUGGUAGGGCUUUGUAGGGUGUUUCAGAAUCCAUCAGUUUGAUGAAUUGAGGAAUAAUGUUUAAGCUUUUACGGUAGCUUUCACUCACUUCACUCGCAAGUCCCUCCAAGAAGAAGGCUUUGAUACCAAUCUGUUGGUGAUUAUACGUAACUCAUAGAAUAGGAAGGGAAAAACUGAAAUAUUAUUGAAUUGAAAAAACUGUUGUCAAAUACAAAGUUGUAACUUAAAUAAAAAACAAAUAUUGAGUAACUAACUCAUGAUCUUUAGCCACUACUUUAUUAGCUAAUUAAAAACUGAAAUAUUAAAACAAAUUCUCUUAGAGACUUGGUCAAAUAGUGCAGCUGGAAGUAACAACUGAUGAUACACAUGUUCAACACCUUCUCAUCAUUUAUUCAAAGCAACAAACAACACAACAACCAUGGUGUUUUUUAGAUGGAGACACUGUUGGGAAUCCCUCUGCCAGUCAAUCCUGGUCCACUGGAAGGAUAAAGAAGAGUGUAUGGAAACUUCACAGGCCCAUACCUGUUUUUCAAUGACUCAUUAUUGUUCCUUUGAAUGAACUCUUCCUCAAUUUCAAUCAAUUUCUUUGCAAACUUUUUGUAGGCUUCUACUGGCUUUGGAUCAGAAGUCCAAAGAUCACCUUCAGUUCUUUGUCCAAGGUAUUCCUCAUUAGGAUCAUGCAUGGAUAAUACCAGCAUAGUAUUCAUAACUUCAAGGGUUUCAACCUUUGGUGUGAUUGUCGUCAAAUAUGUCUUCAUGUAGUCCUUAGCGAGCUCCUUAAACUCAUGUGAUCCUUUCACUGGCAUGAAUCUUAUGGUUUUAGUUGGUCGGUUAAGGAUGUACCCUCCAUACUGAUAUUGUCCAAAAUUAACAGCUGCAUGAAGUGCUGAAGCAAUCCAUAUGAGGGUGGUGCAAGUUUCAAUCAACUCUGUACGAGUUUCCAAUUUAACCCACUUAUCAGUCUUCAAGUCACCAUGACCUACUUCUACAAGUUCUUUCCAAAAUGCUUUGAGUUCCUCAUCAUCUUUAACAUCUUUAUCUGACUCGUAAUAGAAAUUGACAUAUUCAUCAACCCAUGACUUAAUAGCAGCCCAUAUCUCUAGUCCAUCUGAAGCAUAUGGAUAAUCCUCUAUCAGAAGACGCAGACCAUGUGGGGAAGAAUCAUCGUCAACAGCCAUUCCUCUAGAUAAAUAAACAAGAAAGGUAACAUUAAAACACACGCAAAAAAAUACGGAAGGGGUUAUUGUUAAUUAAAAUAGUAAUAACUAAUAACUAUUUUACAAUUGUCUGAGAAAGAGUUCGUACUCUGUCAAAUAGAAAUAUAAUAAUAGUUAGUUUGAGAUUUUUAAUUAGUAUGUAAUUAGUUUGUUAUUUGGUUGUUAGGUUUUAAGUUAUUGAUUCACUUGGGAAUAUAUAAAAUGUAUAUAUUUUAGAUUAAUAUCUUUCUAAUAAAUGGACUGAACCAUGAUGCAAUGUUUUGCUAAAUUACCUAUUUUUUAGAUCAGUAGGUAGUCCUUCUUCAGCGAAAACCCAAUCCUUGUAAACAACAGCUGACAUUUCCAUACAGUAUUUUUCAAACAAAAAUGUCGACUCUACAAUACCCCCUGCAUUGAUCAAGAUAUUUCGUGAUCGUGCAUUUAUGGUCAUCGUGCCACGAUAGUGUGGAACUAAAAGUUUAUGAAUAGGGUGAAGCACACUAAGAUGCCUAUUUGUUGCUAUGACGAAUGGCUCAACAACAGCAUGUGUUUUCAACCUGUGACACAAGUAAAUAUAUAUUCAUAAAAUUACUACUCAUUGAUAAAUCAAAUAUAUAAUUUUAUUAUAUCAAAAUGAUCUAGGAAAUUCUCACCAAUGGCUGACGAGUUGGUGACAACAUGAGUCAUUUACAACAGCGUACGCCUUUGCAAGGAGCCAAAUUAAAGGUUCAUCAUCUUUAGCAUCUUUAUUUGGGGGCACGUAAACAUUACUAACAGAACCAAAACUAUCACCAUUAGGAUGUGGCAAACUUAGCUCAAUGGCCAAUGGAUUCAAAGUUCCAUCAUCUUUAACAAAAAGAAUGGUUCUAGCAGCAUAGGUCUUUGCUUCAGUUUCAUUUACUUUCCUCAAAUAUGGAUAGAUUGCAUCGUGGUGAUCAAGUAUGUACAAUCUAUUGUCUUCGAUAGCCUGUUAGACAAAAAAAAAAAAAAAAAAAAAAAUUAGCCUCUGUAGUUCAAUUGAUUGAAAAAAUUAAUUUUAAUAGAGAAAUAAUAAUAAUAAAAUUAAUUCUUCAUUACCUCUUUUACUGUGACCCCAUUCAUGUUUGGCUCCAAGUGUUCUUUGGUUAUUGUGCUGGUAUUAUCACCAUAGAGUUUACUAUCUAACUUGCUCUUUCUUGGAAGCUCCUGCAACAAAUAUAGAAAGCAAUGAGGUUAAUUACAAAUUACUAUGUAUGUAUUAUAUAUGAAAAGUUGAAAUGAUAACCUUCUUUAUUUCUUUUGUACAUGCUUAAAAAUAUUACAAAUUUACCAGAAGUUUUUCGAUGGCAUUCGGAUUCACACCAGCAAUCAUCUGUCUUGCAAAUUCCUCAUCAGCCAUCCAUGCAUGAUAAUCCUCUACUCAUAGUAACAAAUUUUCAAAAGAAUCCAUGAGCUUUCUUUAUAUGAUUUUGUAUAUAGUUAAAUAUAUAUUGCGAUAACUUGGAAUUUCUGAACAAUAUAUAUAUAUAUACCUGCAAUCACUUGUGGUGUUGGAUACGUUGAACUUUUAGCCACUGAUUUAGCAUUAAUUGGGGAAAGUUCGUUGGACCUCGAUGUUUUGUUGAAUUUACUUAGUAUAUCAGUACCAUGGUUAAUUUGAAUAUUGAAGAGUGACAACACAUCUUGAAAGGUGUUAAACUCUUGACUGAAUAUUAAACUCUCAUCUGUGUGAAGUAAUUCAUCUCUUGGAAUGUAAAUUCUGCCAGUCCGACUCUCAGUCUUUGGAUCUGUUCAUAUUUAUGAUAACAAAAUUAUGUUUCAGCAACAAUACUAAAAUCUUUAGAAUCAUAAGUAGAGUAAACAUUUGGAUCAACCACAAGACAUGUUUGAAAGACUAUUAUUUUGAGACACAGGCACUACAAAAAUAGAGGACUACACACAAAUAUUUGUAGCCUUACCUUUCUUACUUGGUUCUCUACCAGAUCUUACCCUUCGAGGGUAAGGAAAACCGUCUGAUCCCUCCAAAGUGCUUGAUCCCCCAAGAACUGGACGACCCAAGCCAGCCUCUUUGUCUGGUUCACCCAAAUCAUUGUAGACAUCGUAGUCAUAGAUCCUAUCCCAUUCUUUGCGCUCACCCGUUCCAUCUCCUCUUAAAGUCUUCAACUCUUCUUGUCUGUAGUAGACUAAUGGAGCUGGUGUUUCACUUAGAAGGUAUGUCUACAUUUUUUUAUUUCAUAGUGUCAAAUUUUGAGAUAUAUAAAUAUAAUAUAUAUAUAACAUGUAAGAUAAAUAUGAAUAUGAUAGUUUUCAUUACCUUGUUGGUAAAGAAGAUGCGCUCAGAGUGAUAGUUUUUAGCAUUGUAAAUCCAUGAGUUGCAGUUAAAGUUGAUGGUUCCAUGAUUUGGAACAUCAUUAAGGGUCAAACUCACAAGGAAGAGUUCACUUUGAUUAAAAUUCUCGAUAAAAAAAGCCCCUGGGGAUGGAGCUCCCAACUUUUCAGUGUCCCAUUCAAACGUAAUAUUGAAAUGAAAUUGGGUUUCAUCCGAGGCAAUAAGACUUCCCAAAUAUGUUCGCUCUCCCACUUUUCCUUUUCCAUUUCCUACACAAAUUGCAGAAAGUAGAUCUUAAUUUCCAGAUAUACUACUAAUUUAAAUUACAUCUUUUUGUGCAAAUUUAUUACUACUAUCAACUUAUUAUGGUAAUUUUGUCAUAUUCCUAUAUUUAGGGAUGAAAGUGGUAAUAAUUAUAAUCAUUGUUCCUACUUUUUUGAGAAGAAAACAUCGAAGCCUAUAUCAACAAAGAUAUUCACAAAUUUUUAAACCGGGAGUUUCUACUCUACACUCGCAGAUUAAACUAUAGUGAAAUACUUGAUUUUUUAAUCAAUAAAUUAAUUAUCGGUUUAAUGAAAUAAAGAGUUAUUUAUCAACUUUAAUUUUAUAUUGUAUGAAAUAUCAUUGUAUAAGGGAAAAAAAAAUCACAUCAUUGUUUAUAAGAAUCAUAUUAAAUUAAGAGUAAAUGAUAGAAAAUAACUUUUUUUUUUCUUUCUAAAAAACACUUUUUUUUUUCAAAAACAACUAAACUAACAAUUCGUUUAAAGAUCUGAUGUAUCGAUCGAUGUACUCGAAUUCGUCUUACAAAUAUUGUUUUAACUUGUCAAUUUUACGAUAACAUUUCUAAACAUUUUUAUCCAAGACUUUUUAUUCUGUUAAAAUCUAGUUCUAAAGGGAAAUAGGCAUCGGUAAUAUGGAGUUUGAUCGAGAGGUAAGUAUAGUUUGAUAAAAAAUUGUUCCAUUCAGAAUUGAACUCACGUUCUCUUAAAUAUUUUAUCUAGUGGAACUCAUUAACCACUUUUCUUUUUGGCAAGUAGCCUAGUGGCAAGAAUUCACAUUUUUCAAUAUGAAUAAGUGGGGUUAUAGGGUUCGAACCCCACCCCCUGCAUAUAAUUAUGCAUGUCCCUGCCAACUGAGCUAUCCUCACGGAGACCACUCAUUAACCACUUUAACCUACCAAUUAACUAAAUUUAUUAUUGCAUAAGUUUUCUAUAACUUUUACUCUUUUUAACAUAAAAAAUGUGUUCAUUUGCAUUGUUACUCCCUCGGUCCAACAGUUUACAAAUAAUCAUGGAUAUUAAGAAAAGUUGUUGGAUAAAUAAAGUUGUCCCAAAUUGUUACCAAAUUGUAUUUGUGUUAAUGUUGAUUUUUCAUUUUUCAAAAUACAUUGAUAGUAUUAAUAAAACAAACAGUCUUAUAAUUAUGUACGGAUGGAGUAGUGGAUAUAGUUAGAUAAAGAAGUUAUUACCAUCAACCGUGGAAUCACUAAUCAAUCUGAGAGCCACAGAACGGCCUGGGAUGGAAGGAUCAGCAGCAUCUUUGUUUUGCUUAAGAAUCACAAUACCCUUAAGCUUUGUGACCUUGUUCCUAGCUGACACUGACACGAAUGAAGUCAUCUUUGAUGCUUAAAUGUAUUACACUAUCUUUGUCAAAUGAAAGAAAUGUUUGUGUCUUGUAACCAUUGGGGAUGCUUACUAUUUAUAGUACUUGAUGGGAUCACAAGGUUAGUUCAAAAAAGAUAAACUAUUCUUUGAUACACAGCUGUUCACGAUAUCAUAUUGAGAAAGACGCCAAUUAUUUUACCUAUUUUACUACUAGUGUAUCUCAACAAACAAGUAGGGAAAUCCAAUUAUUUUACUAUUCUUUUUUUUGAAGGAAUUAUUUACUAUUCUUGGAAUAGUGUGUACAUGCAAUUACUCCCUUCUAAUCUUUUUAUAUCAUCAUCUUACAUAAACUAUGAAUAUCAAAAGGAUUUUUCUAUCAAGUACUCAAAACGUUUUCAAUUAUAAGCAAAUUUAACUUUUUAUAUUCAAAAUGAUUUUUCUAUCAAAAACCAUGCUUAAACGUAUUACAAUAUCUUUGGCUAAUGAAAGAAAAGCUUGUGUCUUUUAACCAUAGGGUGGUUUGUAUUUAUGUAAAAUAUGAAGAAAAAAUAUAUAUAUAUCCGUUGAAUAAUUAUUUUGUUAUAAUAAGGUGUAUCAAGUGAGAGGAGUUUUUAUAAUGAGAGAUGAGAGGGUUGAGUUGUAACUCUUGGAAUUUCACCUCCUUCAUCUUGUUACGCGCGCCUUCUUUCUUCUCUCACAUAUGUUUCCAAUUCCUCACAAAUCCCAGACACCUUGAACCUUCCUCGCGACCGCUGCAAGGACUGUGUAUUUGCAUAAUCAACUCAACGUGCGUAGAUCCACCAUGACAAAUUUCCAUCCAUAUUUGUAUAAUCGGUUUCUAGCCACGGUUGAAGAUCGUCGAAUUGACUUCAGAAAAUCAGAUAUAAUCACUGAUUGAGUGACUGGGAAAAUUAAGCAAGAAGUAAUUAUGUGAUUGUCUCUUUGUUUGUGUGCAUAUAGAACAUUUAUCCGAUCUGUGAGUCGCAUCUAUUGAUGACUGUUAUUAGAGCUUUUGGGUCUAAUUUCAUGAAAAACUAAUAAUAUAAUUAAUUGUUACUUUAAAUCCCAAAUAAAAGUAAGUCCAAUCAUUUUAAAACGGAGGGAGUAAUAAAUUAAAAAUUUCAGGCAAAAAAUUGACAUAUAACCAAUCAUAUGCGAUCAAUGAAGAAGAAGAAAGAUAAAACUUAAAGAGAAGGUGUACCUUCUUUUUUUACUCAAUCCGUUUUAAAGCGAGUGUCGUUUUAGCAAAAAAAAAAUUGUUUCAAAAUGAAUGUCACUUUCAGUUUUCAAUGCAAUAAUAACUUUUUCUUUUCAAUUGUACCUUCAAUUAAUAUUAUAUACAUUACUUCCAAAGUAUUAUUUUUUCUUUAAUGAAAAACAAACUAAUAGUUGAUUAUGAUAAUUUGGUAAAAUAACAUCUUUUUUUUUUAAUUAAUGUAUUUCCUAAUAUAUUUAUAAAAACCUUAAACGACGUUCAUUUUAAAACAGAAUGAGUAAAAAACCAAAAUCAAACUAAUCCAUCAAAAUUAACACUUACGAAAAUCUAAAAUAAAAUUUUAAGAUGAGCAUUCCGAAUUGGGUUGCAACUUCUCUUUUUUUAAUUGUCUCCGGUUAUUAAAUUAUGGAAAGUUAAACAAGUAGGUGUAUGGUUGUCUUAUGUGCGAGAGAUUCCAAAGUCACAGCUGCUUUGGUGCUAUUUUUUUUUUUGGUUACAUGCUGCAUUAUGGUUAUUAAUAACUAUUUUUUUCCCCUAAUAAAUAAUAUGGUCAUUAAUAACUGUGCUUUGCUCUAUUAUUAAUUGUAUUAAUACGUGUGCGAGAUGGUAGAUCCGAAUUUUCCGGUCAUGAGAUACAAAACUGUUCACGUUCCCAUAUUGAGAAAAACGCCCAUUAUUUUUAGUUAAUAGUGUCACAACAAACACGUUAGGAAAGCCAAUUAUUUUUUUUUGUCUGCUUUGGAAAACCAAUUAUGAAUAGGUAUGUAACUAAAAUUAGGGUCAUGCUAACCGGUAUCAAGGUACUGGUUAAGGGUAUCAAAAAAGAAAGUUAUUACUAAAGAAAUUUUUUAACUUUUUAUGGAUUUAUUACAUAAUUUUUAAUACAAUAACUAUUAUAUAAUUUUCUUUUUUAAUAUCCUUAACUGGUGCUCCGGAGAAACCGAUUAGCAAUUUCCCUUAGAGGGUCAUGAUCUUAUGAGAUUAAGGAUAAGUUUCUCUCUGGUUUCAACCUCUUCUAGAUUUAAUAAAUAAAUUGACACAAUUUCUGAUACUUUAUUUUUAUAUUUGGUAUAGUAACAUUUGUUCUAUGAGUACAUGUUGGCAUUCCCUUAAGAGUUAAAACUGGUAAAAGGUUUAACGAUUGAAAAAUAUAGAGAAUUUGAAAUGAUAAAACUAUUAUUAGUGGUGAAGAUGCACAUGAAUUGGAAAUUGAAUACAUGUUUUUUGAGUAAAAAAUUGAAUACAUGCUCAAUUAAGUAAACUAUUAUUGAUAAUCAACAAUUGAUUUACAUUAUUUAAAAAAAAAAAUAUUGAUUUACGUAAUCGAAUACUAGUUUGAAUAAAAUUCGCCAAAAUUUGUUUUUUUUAUCUAGUAUUAAUGAAAAGUUUGGCUCUUUAGAUAAGCUCAUAGCAUAUAAGUUGUUGUGAAAGUGAUUUAAAAUUGGAUUUUUGAAAGUGCAAAAUUAGGGUCCGGUUUGGACAAAUCGAUGACUGAUUUUGAAUCAUUUUCCAGCCUUUGUAUUCGACAAUUUUCGGCGUCCGAUUGGUGAAAAUCGGCGGCCGAUUAUGCAAAACAGAUUUUUAUGGGUUAGAUUUAUUCCAAUUUUAUGCGGGAUACUUUUACUAUAAAUAUAGACCUUGUAUCAGAGUAAACAUUGAGAAAGGGGGUUGAAAACAAGGGUUAUGAAACAAACAACAAACUAGGGUUUAGAGAGAUUUCUCUAAGCGGGAGACACUAGAGUUUGAAUUGUUUUGAUUCACCUUGAACAAAACACUGUUAAGAUUGAGUCUCUUGGUCACAUGAAGAGAUUGAGACUUUAUGUAGAAUUAGGUUUGAAGACUAAUUCUUGUUACCUUUUGAUAUCUCUUUGUAAAGUUACUCAUCAUUAUAGUGGAACAGAAGGCUGCUCUCUCCCUCAGACUAGGUCAGUAUUGGACCGAACUUAGUAAACAAAUUUUGUGUGUUCUCUCUCUCUUUCUCUCUCUCUCUCUCUCUCUCUCUCUCUCUCUCUCUCUCUCUCUCUUUCUCUCUCUCUCUCUCUCUCAUUGUUUUCUACUUUACUUGUGUUUAUAAUUGUUACCCAUGUUGAUAUUGAUUGCUUAAUUAUUUUGCUCCACAAAUCAAGUAUUUUAUUGGUGCGAUUUUCAACAAAUUCACAACAUAAGUUAACUUAUUAUAAUGGAUAACAUAUAAGCUAGCUUAUAGAUGAAGCAGAUAGACUAUCUGAAUGAAUUUAUAUUGUUUGGUAAAAUUUGCAGUAGAACUAACUUAAAAAUGAUACAUUUAAUUAAUAAUUGAUUUUUUUUUUUCAAUUAAAAUUAUAGGGGUAAAAUUGAUAUAAAUAAUGAUAAGCUAUAUGCUUCAAACUACUAUAAACUAUAAACUAGUAAAAAUAGGUGAUAAAUUCAUGCAAAAGAGACACUUAUCAUUCUCUUAUAUGACCUUAUAAGAUAUGUAUAAGUUAUAAGAUGGAAAUAGGUCUUGCCAAACAGACUCCUAUCAUUCUCUUAGAAGGAAUUUUUUUAGGGAACUCUUAUAAGGAAUUGAAAUGAUGUUACAAAAAUCUGUAAACAUAUCUAAAACAUGACAAUGGCUCCGUCUAUGGUGGGAGACCUGAAUAGGUCUCAUACCGUAGGAGACAUAGUUUUUUUUUUCUUUUAAAAUGAAUAUGAAUCAUUGGAUAAGGGUUUGAUCAAAAUGUUUACUAUACACCUCCAAUACAAUUGUUUUCUAUUAUUCUAAACUUGUGUAUUUAUUCGACGUUGUUUUUGUUAGACAUAUAAUUAAGGACGACCAAAAUUAUGCAUGCAAACAUAUUUGCAGAUAAAAUUUACCCCGAGCUAGUACAUGACCAAUAUUUUAAUGGGUAUACACGAAUAAAAGAAAAUCAUAUUUUAAAUACUCGUAAGUUAAUAGAUGCACAUGCAGAUGAAAUAUUUAAUGAGAUUAUCUUCAAAAUAUUUAAUUACCUUUUUAUUAUUAAAAAAUACUUUUUUAUGUGUGUGGGCCUAAAUACUAUUUAUUUGAUAUUGUGACCGUAUUAAAAUUGCUCUUCUUGAAGACUAUGCGGUUAAUUAGUAAUGAGUGAUUGUAUGAAUUUUUCCGCUUACAAUAUUUUUUACUUUUGAAACAAAUGCAAACUACUAGAAAUACUCGAUUUUUCUGCGGAACUACCUGCGGAUUUAUGUGAAUAUUCCGCAGAAAACGGUUUUCCUGUGGAUUUUGUCAAGAAUUUAGGUUCCCAUGUAACAGCUUCGUGGGUAAUUGUUUCCUGAAGAUUUUAGGAUCCGCAGGAAGAGUGAAAAAAAUCCGCAGGAAACGUUGGGUUAGUGAUUAGGGAAUUUUCCUGCCCAUAAAAGCACUGUUUCUGCGAAUAUAUUCUCAGGUAUUUCCGCAGUAAAUGAAGCAGGAAAAUCCCCUAGACUCUUUUUCCACAGGAAAGUGAGCUAUUUAUUUAAAAAAAAAAUAAUGCACUUCAUUGCAUUGAACGAUAUAAAUAAUAGAAUAUACAAUUCUUAUAAAUUUCAGAAAUUAUAGAAGACACAGUUUCAUUAAUCAUGCAACAAAAUAAAAUUGAAAGUACCACAUGUCUCUUCAUAGUUGAACCUCCUAUACACAAUUGCUAAUGUCUCAUGCCUUCAAGUCUGUUCCACUCACACCACCUAAUAAACUUCCUAUAAUUACUAGCUAUCCUCCAAAUAUAAAGAUGUAUCGGAAAAGGAGCAUGAACCUCUUACCAACAUCUUCAAGAAGCUGCUAAUCCAAAUUCUUCAUCCAUGCAUUCAUCUAGGUUAGCCUUCUCUAGUACAUACUCAAUUUCAACUUGUCCAACAACCCAAAAAUUAAGAAAAAAAUAAUAGCAUAAGUUUCCUUCCUAAAUGAAAGGAUAUCUGAGAAAUUUCACCCAUAUACAAAACCCUGAUCAGCUUUGAGAAACUAUUAGGCUGAGAAAGACAAAGACAAAAGUGGCAAGUGCACCAAAUCAUUCAAGUAAUAAAGUAGUAAGUAAUCGUAUUUACUGGGGAUCAUUUUUUUUCUACUUGGCAAUUUACUAAACCUUUUAUUAAAAACUAUAAAUGAUGGAAAGUUUGGAAGUUUUAAUUGAUUAACUACAAAAAUAAAAAUGCAUAUUGUGACGAUUAAAAAUAGGACAGUUGAAAAUCUGUGACGGCUCCCCGAUUGUCGAGGACAUGUGUGUCGCUAGAGAAUUUCGUGUCAGUUCAAUAAAUGGUCAUUCCAACAGUCGCACAGGACAUUGCGACAAUUGGAAACCGCCCUUACUUGCGACAAUCGGAAACCGCCCUUAUAAUUAUCGCAAAGAACGCAAUGUUUAUAUUAGAAGGGCUAUUUUGCUUCAAACCAUCGUAGACAUGUGAUUUAUUUUUAUUUUCUACAUUUUCCAUUUUGAUUUUGAUAGUUUAUUCAAUAAGAAUUAAUCUUAAAUUAAAAUAAAAAAUAUUAAUAAAUACUAAAUGCAAAAAUAUAUAAUUAUAUAUGAUUAAAUCUCAUUCAUAUAAUCCUUUCAAGAAUAACAACAUUGAUUCCCUAAAAAAAAAAAAAAGAAUAACAACAUUGAUACAUACAUAAACUUGAUUAAAACAAUAAAUAAAAUAGUUUAACAUUCAAAAAGCCAAAACACUAGUGGAGUGGCUGAUUAUACAAAAGAACUACAUAAAAAUUAAUUGAUAAAAAUUAUCCCCUAGUGACUUUGCUCCAUGAUUCUCAAGGGAACGCCUGCCAUCUAGAAAUAAGCCAGUCCUUCACUCGUCCAUUUAGAAAUUAUACAAACAAAUGAAUACGUUGGUUGGAUUUGGAUACAUCAUGUGGGUUGAUUGUGUCGUAGGCCUUCACAGAGUGUGAGAGAUGUGCGUUGAAAUCUUCAGACUCCUUUCCUGAAAAUUAGUUAUCCUUCAUAGAAUUGAGGACACGAUUCUUAAUAUCAAACACCAUGGGGUUUGCAGGUUGGAACCUGAGAGACAUUUAAUCAUAGUUGGUCUUCUGCUAUCAUGUAAGAACUGCAAGUGCAUGAGAAUGCAUCAUGCGCAGUGCCCAAGAGUAUAAAACUAUAAUCAUAGGAUUUAUAAAAGAGAAUCACAUCAUUUUAGCAGAUUCUGAUUUAGUAUGUUUAAGAGAUAGCAGAUCAGAGUUUGACUUCAUAUAACCCUCUUUCUGUACAUAUUGCCUUAUAUAGUUUAUUGUAUUUAAGUCCUAGUUUAUUGUCAUUAAUUCUCCUUUGUUGUUUGGGAUCAGCUAGGCUUGACUUUAGGGAUUUUGAUAGGAAAACUCUGUAUAUAUGUAACACUGAUUUACAAUGAAAGAUAUGACAGUGAAACACUUUGGUUCCUGUCUUUAUAUGGCAUCAGAGCAAUUCUGAUCCUAAAUUAGAAACGUUUGCUGAAAAUGGCGGACAAAAAUGAUUCCACCAUAGAAGGUGGGAUCAAAGGAGAUCGAAAUGCAGAAACAAAAAUAGCUGGGAAGAAGACACCUUCUCCGUAUGAUCUGAGUUCGCACGACAAUCCAGGAAGCGUUAUCACCCAAGUCCAAUUACGUGGUGAAAACUACGAUGAAUGGGCUAAGGCGAUGAAGACCUCAUUACGGGCACGACGUAAAUGGGGGUUUGUCGAAGGAAACAUAAAACAACCUGAAGAAGGAUCGACAGAAAUGGAGGAUUGGUGGACCGUACAAUCUAUGCUCGUGUCUUGGAUCCUGAACACUAUAGAUCCAACUUUGCGAUCGACCAUCUCUUAUAUGGAGAAUGCAAAGGAAUUGUGGGAAGACAUCAAAGAACGAUUCUCAAUUGUGAAUGGACCUAGGAUCCAACAAUUGAAAUCGGAUCUGGCACAAUGUAAACAAGAAGGAAUGGCCAUGGUGAAUUACUAUGGAAAACUCAAGAUGCUUUGGGAUGAGUUGGUAAAUUACCAACAAAUCCCAAUCUGCACGUGCUCAGGAUGCAAAUGCGGCAUCAAGUCGAAAUUAGAGAAGCAAAGAGAAGAAGAAAGAGUGCAUCAGUUCUUGAUGGGACUAGAUGAUGUGUUGUAUGGAACAGUCCGCUCUAAUUUGCUUGCUACUGAUCCGCUGCCAUCGCUGAACAGAAUAUAUGCUACUUUGAUACAAGAGGAGCGUGUGAAAUCAAUUGCUAGGACCAAGGAAGAACGAGGAGAGGUCGUUGGCCUGGCCGUGCAAACUGCUGGAAGGGCUAGAGGACGUGGUGAUAUGAAGGAGAAGAAUGCGGUAUGUUCAUACUGCAAUCGAACAGGACAUGAUGCAUUAAGCUGUUUUCAGGUAGUUGGAUACCCUGAUUGGUGGGGAGAUAGGCCACGAAAUGAAACUAAGAUGGGUGCAGGUCGAGGAAAAGGACAACAACAAACCAGAGGUUCUAAUCAAGGACGUGGGAGAAGCACAAUUAUUCGUGCAAAUGCUGUCCAAACAAAUGAAGGAGGCCCGGUCGUGACAAAUGCAGAUGCAAGCGGGUUGACAGGUUUAAGUAGUGAGCAGUGGCAGACUUUGGUAGAGCUUCUAAACACUCAUAAGGGAAGCAAUACGGAAAGAAUGACAGGUAAAAAUACAAUAUGGAUUGUUGAUACAGGCGCUUCUAAUCACAUGACUGGAAAUGUGAGAUUUUUGCACAAAAUGAAGAGCGUGCAAGGAUGCCCGGUGGGUCUGCCAAAUGGAGAACAAGCUGCUGCUACUCAAGAAGAAAGUGUAAUUCUUGAAGGGGGCCUGCAACUUAACAACGUUCUAUAUGUGCCCGGAUUAAAUUGCAACUUGAUAUCUGUAUCCCAAUUGAUAGAUGAUAUGGAUUGUGUUUGUCAGUUCACUAACUCUCUAUGUAUUAUGCAGGACCGCACUUCGAAGACGCUGAUUGGAGUGGGUGAACGAAGAGAUGGGCUCUACCAUUUUAGAGGGAUUCGACAUGAGAAAGUCUGCAAAGUAGGAGACAUGUCUUUGUUGCAUCUUUGGCAUAAACGCAUGGGACAUCCUUCCAUGAAGAUUAGUCAGUUAAUUUCAAAUGUUGGUAAAAAUAAGAGUGUGAUUGAAAAUAAAGCCUGUGAUGUUUGUCAAAGGGCAAAGCAAACUAGGGAUAGUUUUCCUUUAAGUGAUCACAAAGCUAGUAGUAGUUUUGAACUAGUUCACUGUGAUUUGUGGGGGCCUUACAAAACUCCUUCUUCAUGUGGAGCGUAUUAUUUCUUAACAAUAGUAGAUGAUUUUUCUCGAGCUGUUUGGAUCUAUUUAUUGCUUGAUAAAAGAGAAGUUUCACAAACUAUAUUAAGUUUUAUUGCUUUGGUAGAUAGACAAUAUGAGAAGCAAAUUAAAAUAAUUCGCAGUGAUAAUGGAACUGAGUUUACAUGUUUAAAAACAGAAUUUAUCAAGCGUGGGAUCAUUUUCCAAACAUCUUGUGUGGGAACGCCACAACAAAAUGGACGGGUCGAAAGAAAGCACAGACAUAUCCUAAACAUUGCCCGAGCACUGAGAUUUCAAAGCAAUUUGCCUAUUUCUUUCUGGGGUGAGUGUGUUUUAACAGCAGGAUACCUCAUAAAUAGGACUCCAACACCUCUGUUAGAUGGAAAAACCCCAUAUGAGAUGCUAAAUGGGCAGCCACCUUCAUAUGAACAUUUGAAGGUUUUUGGAUCUUUAUGUUAUGCACAUAAUCAAGGAAGGAAAGGUGAUAAGUUUACCAGCCGAAGCAAGAAGUGUGUAUUUGUAGGAUACCCUCCCGGGAAGAAAGGAUGGAAGUUGUUUGAUCUAGACAACAAAAAUUAUUUUGUGUCAAGAGAUGUAGCAUUCUUUGAGAAUGAGUUCCCUUUUGCCUCUAUUGAUAAAAUUUCGAGUGAGCCAACACAAAUUAUCGAAAAUGAGAACUAUGAAACUCAAAGUGCAGUGAGUGAACAUCAGGAGCUACCUUUGGAAGUGGAAAUUUCUGAAUUAAGGGGGGGUACUGAUGAAGAGAAUGUGCAAGAAGUUGGGACAUCACAAGUGCUACAACAAGAUGAUGAACAUGAAGAAAUUAGUGAAGAAGAUCUUGGUCGAGGUAAACGCGUGAAGAAUCCCUCUGUAAAGCUGAAUGGUUAUGUGACAUAUAAUGUACAAAAAAUGGUUAUGAGCCCAUCUACGAGUUCACUCCCUCUACAGCCGAAAUCAGGUGCGCCCUAUCCCAUAAUGCAUUAUGUGAGUUGUGAUAAUUUUUCAGUGCAGCACCGCAGGUUUCUUGCUGCUGUAAGUGCAGAGAAAGAGCCGAAAAAUUAUUCUACGGCCGUUAAAGAUCCUAGAUGGCGUACAGCUAUGCAGCAGGAGAUACAAGCGCUUGAAGAUAAUCACACAUGGACUAUAUGCUCUCUCCCAGCAAAUAAAAAGGCCUUGGGGUGUAAAUGGGUAUACAAGAUCAAGCAUCGUUCCGAUGGGACCGUAGAACGGUUUAAAGCUCGACUCGUGAUCCUUGGAAAUCAUCAAGUGGAGGGGAUAGAUUACAAUGAAACAUUCGCUCCUGUAGCUAAAAUGGUUACAGUUCGAAUUGUGCUAGCAGUUGCUGCAGCCAAGAAGUGGGAACUCCAUCAAAUGGAUGUUCAUAACGCCUUCUUACACGGAGAAUUGCAAGAGGAGGUGUUCAUGAAACUGCCCCCUGGUUUUCGUCCCUCUCAACCAGAGAUGGUAUGCAAGCUUGGGAAGUCACUGUACGGAUUAAAACAAGCUCCCCGUUGUUGGUUUGCUAAGCUUUCCUCAGCCCUCAAACAAUACGGAUUUCAUCAAUCAUAUUCUGAUUACUCUUUGUUUACCUUGUUUGAUAAAACUGUGCAGCUUGUGGUUUUAGUUUACGUUGAUGAUUUGAUCAUUUGUGGAAAUAAUCAUGAUUCGAUUGAACGGUUCAAGGAAUACUUGAGUCGUUGUUUCCAUAUGAAAGAUUUAGGAUUGUUGAAAUAUUUCUUGGGGGUGGAAGUGGCGAGAUCGCCUUCUGGGAUUUUUCUCUGCCAAAGAAAGUAUGCUUUGGAUAUUAUUAGUGAAGCCGGGCUACUUGGAGCAAAGCCUAUGCCGACUCCACUCGAGCAGAACCAUAAUCUCAGUCUUGCUCAAGGGGAGUUUCUUGAAAAUCCUGAAAGGUACCGUAGGCUUGUUGGACGCCUUAUCUAUCUUUGUUUUACUCGACCUGAGUUGUCGUAUAGUGUCCAUAUUCUCUCUCAGUUUAUGCAGCAACCACGAGAAGACCAUUGGACUGCUGCGCUAAGGGUGGUGCGGUAUCUUAAAGGGAAUCCAGGCCAAGGUAUAUUUCUUGACAGUACAAGUGAUAUGAAGCUGCACGGGUGGUGUGAUGCUGACUGGGCAGCUUGCCCUAUCACUCGCAGAUCACUCACAGGUUGGGUCAUCUUCUUGGGGAACUCGCCUAUCUCUUGGAAGACCAAGAAGCAGCAAGUUGUGUCUCGGUCAUCUGCUGAAUCCGAAUACCGUUCGAUGGCUAAUACAACUUGCGAGUUAAAGUGGGUGAAGAGUAUUCUUUGCAGUCUAGGUAUCUCUCAUUCUAUGCCUAUGCAACUCUAUUGUGAUAGUCAGUCUGCGCUUCACAUUGCAAAGAAUCCCGUCUUCCAUGAACGUACCAAACACAUUGAAGUGGACUGUCAUUUCGUUCGUAAUGAAAUACUUCAUGGUCAGCUUCAACCUUCUUAUGUUUCCACUCAUGCUCAACUCGCAGACAUACUUACUAAAGCAUUGGGUCGUGCUCCAUUUCAAUUCCUACUUGCCAAGUUGGGCAUUCGAAAUCUUCAUGCUCCUACUUGAGGGGGGGUAAAAGAGAAUCACAUCAUUUUAGCAGAUUCUGAUUUAGUAUGUUUAAGAGAUAGCAGAUCAGAGUUUGACUUCAUAUAACCCUCUUUCUGUACAUAUUGCCUUAUAUAGUUUAUUGUAUUUAAGUCCUAGUUUAUUGUCAUUAAUUCUCCUUUGUUGUUUGGGAUCAGCUAGGCUUGACUUUAGGGAUUUUGAUAGGAAAACUCUGUAUAUAUGUAACACUGAUUUACAAUGAAAGAUAUGACAGUGAAACACUUUGGUUCCUGUCUUUAUAAUUUACAGCCAUAGCUGUUCUCUAUAAUUGCUCUACAAUUCCCAGUAGUUAAAUUUAUUUACCUGGAGUUGAUGAAAUUUGAGCAAGUAAACAGUGGAUUCUACAUACAUUGGAUUGCUUUCUACAUAUCUAAAAUAACAAUCAAAAUGUCAGUGAGCAUAAAUAUUGUUUAAUUAUUACAAAUUUCAUAAAUGAAUGUUGUUUAGUACUUACGAGAUGCAUUCAUCAAGCCUUUUGAGAAGUGGGAGGAAGUUUACGAUUCCAACAUUCAUAUUUGAAGAAUAAAAAUUGGUAGCAACCUGCACAUGACGAUUUAAAGAAACCACAUACAUCAUCUAUAAAUUCAUAAGUAUGUGAAGUUUUCAGUUUGCAUUCGCAAAUUUUUAACUGCGUAUCUUACUCACCAUAACUCAUUACAAGGUAUAGUUAAAGCUAACCACAUUUUAGUGUCAUUUUAUUCACCAUAAACACAUGAGAAGAAUCUUUGCAAUAUGCAAUAAUCUUAUAUGUUCCCUGCAUUUCAAUUUUAAAUAAUGCUUUAUCCUUCCAGAUUGAGUACAACUUCAUACUUUAGUUUUGUAGAUUAAAAUACACUAAAAUGCACAUAGCUAUGUAGAUUAAAAUGACAUUGAUAAUGAUAUCCAGUAGUUGUAAAGACUUCAUUAGUAAGUUUAACUCAAGUUUAAAAAUUCUUGUAACUUCACAAGUUAAUAACUAAAACUCUUAAGCAUCAUAACUCAAUUAUUCCCUUUCCUUUAAUUUUUUGUAAUGGCUGUAUUCUCUUUCCUUGUCUUACCCAGAAUUGCAAAACACACCCACGACGACCUUAUGAACAGUCACAAAACAACCUUACAAAUAUGUAACGACACAAUCGACUUUCUCUAAUUCUUCAAUCUAUAGAGCUUGCAAUAAGAGAAGUUGAUAUGAGAAAUUCAAUGGGUUCAGUUCAGCACACAAAGAAUAUUUGUUAUUUGAAAAUAAAAAACCGCAUGAGAAUGUUAUGGAUCUUCUUCGGUUCCUCCUUCUGCUGCACUAUUGAAGAUUGAAGAUGUUGUAUUAAGGUGUUUUUGGAUCUGGGUACAGCACAAUUUUGUUGAGAAUAAUAAAAAAAAAAAAAAAAAAAAAUUAGACUUAUUUAACCGGUUGCCGGUUUAAGAAAUUAAAAAUGAAAUGACGCGUCCGUAACUGAAUGAGCGACUGCCCCUAACAUUACUCUAUUUAUUAUUCAAUGGUUAGGAUUUCAUCGGACCUUCUAGUCAUUAGAGAGGAUUCAUUCCUGUCCUUUAACCAUAGGGUGCUUAGUAUUUUGGUAUUUAAGUUGAUGGUAUCACGUGGUAAUGGCUCAGGAUAAGAUAUUUUGUUUGACUCAUCAUCAAACAAAACAAAUUCAAAUUGAUUCACUGCAUUAUUAUUUUUGGUUUGUUAUGUACUGCUCUGACGUUAUUUGAUGGUAUCACGUGCUUUUUUUCUUCUUCUUCUGUUUGCUCUGUUAAAAAAAGUUCUAUUAUUACGUGAGUGGUUAGCUAGAUCAUAUUUAGAAGGACCACCGAUAAACACCAAAAAAUAAAAAAUAUAAUCGAUGUUUAAUUUUUUAUUUAUUUAUUAAAAAAGACAAUUGUUCAUUCGAAUCUAUGGAAAUACAUGAAAAAACACAAAUUCAACCAAGGAAGACGGAAUUUACUAUUAAAACACGUAUAUUUGAUAGUGGUUCCGGAUGUAGAAAACUAAAGUUUGUGUUGAGGUUUAAAGGAGACGAUAAGCAUAAAGGAAUAAAGAUAAAGUUGAAACAAGAAGGCACAUGUUUAAGAAAAUGCAGAUGUUCCAUUCAGGUUGAGUGGUUUUUUUAGUGCAUAAAAAAUAUGGAGUCUUGGUUUUGUUUCACGAUUGCAUAAUCAUGAGAUGCAGUCAAAGUUAGAAGGUCAUAUUUUGGUGUGUCGUUUAAAUAUUUUGUCUACUUUAAAAGAUAGACGGAAAGACAACAGUUCCAAAGCAAGUUUACAAUCUACGUCAAAGAUAAAAAAGACCAUAAGGGUGUGUUUGGUUUGCAAAACAACAAGUACUGGACAGAACAGUACAAGAUAGAACAGUACAACACAAGGCAGAACAGCACAAAACAAAUUUUUUAUGGCAUUGAGUAAUUUUUUGUUUUAUACGAUUUUUGAGGGACAAAAUGCUAUUUUGGUAUUUUAGACAACUUGUACGUGAGACAAAAAGUUGUGUUGUGGUUUGGUGAGGGACAAAAAUAUGAGUUUUUGUCCUAUCUUUUACCUCCAGUUUGUCCUAUACCUGAAACAGUUUUAUAAAUCAAACACUGGACAACUACAGUUGUUAUGUUUUGUCCUUCAUUUUUUAGCAAAUCAAACGCACCCUAAGAGAUUGGAGAAAAUGAAGCAAAUUGUUGAAGUGUUUGAAGAAAACAACUAAGCUUUCAGGUAUAAAUGUUUGGGGAGUCAAAAAUUGUUCAAGACAUGUUUUUGGUACAUCCUAAACAUGUGAACUUGUUUAACACUUUUUCUACUCUUUUGCUAAUGCAUUUCAUUUAUUUCCUUCGAUCACUAUUAUAAUAAAAAAGCAUUUAUAAGAUUUAUUGAAUUACUUAUAUAUCCAGUAUUAUAGAUUAAAUACGUCAGUUAUUCUAUUAAUAAAAAAUGGUUUUUUUCUUAUAAUAGUGAAGGUAAUGAGUAUAAAAUAUCAAUUACUGAGAUGUAUUGUUUGAGAUAGUUUGCAUUAGUCAUAUAACUCAAUACCCAAAACACCUGACUCACAUUUUGUCAGCGGUAGUCAAGGUUUUACAACUCAAGAGUUUACCUCAACUCGUUUUGCUUAGGUAAACUCCACUCUUAAACUCGAUUCGAGAAUUCGUACGAGUUUACCUAAAAUUAAAAUUAUAUAAAAUUUAUUAUAUGCAUGACAUAUAUAAGUUAAUAUAAUAUUGUAAAUAGGUUAAUAGUGCAAAAUAUGACUUAAUUACAAAGGAAAAUUAUAUGAAACUUCUAUAAUGAAACGUUAUGCUCAACUUAGCAUCAAAAUACAAAAAUUAACGCACAUAAUUAUAAGUUUCAUAAGUCUCUAAGUUUAAGUCAUCCAUAAAACCAUCCAAAAAAGCAAGUUUCACAAGUUUAUAAAGUUGUUAAUAAAACUAGAGAAAUGCUAGCAACACUCUCUUUUGGACACUCUCUAACACUCACUCUUUUAUUGGAUAAAAUCAAUGUAUGUCCCACCAUUUUAUGUGGGUUCCAUUUCCAAAGUAUACGACCCACAUUGUUUUAACCCAAUAAGAGAAUGAGUGUUAGAGAGAGUGUCCAAAAGGGAUUGUUGCUAGCAAUCCUCAUAAAACUAUCCAAAAAAUAAACUGGCUAAUUUCUUCAAAAAGUCAUCAAACACCACCACCGCAACCCUAACCAACAUCGCAAUCACCGGCGUUGCAAUCGGAAUUUCCCCCAUCGAAAUCGCAACCCUAACUAAUAUGUGCUCUCAUGUUCAUGGUUUGAGAACUCAGAUAAGAAAAAAAAAAAGAAACGUUUCAUUUCAGGAAGCUAGCAAUGUGUUACUGUAAAAGUAACUAUUUGAUAAACGUUUCAGUCUCUGGGCUUUUAGAAUCGAAAUUGGGUUUUGAAAAAAACUUAGCCCAAAAAAAUGGGCCAAUUUUUACUUUUUUUUUAGAUUUAAACUCGUAAAACUCGGUCAAGUUUACACGAGUUUAUCGAGUGUACGUUAACUUGGUCAAACUUGUCAAACUUUCCGAUUUUACCAUAAACAGAGUUUACCUCCGAGUUAACACGAUUUUGGUACCUAAAAACAUAAAUUCGAUAAACUCGGCGAGUUACCACUCAAUUUGCGGAACAUUGCCGGUAGUACAAUAGUUAAAUUGGCAUAUUGGAUUCAAUAAUUCGAUAUGACAUUAACUUGGAGCAUUAGUCUCGGGUCUGUCCAGAGAUUGUGUCCCAUCUCAACUUCUAUGGUUUUUUCUUCAUGAAAUUCUUGCGGAAAAAAAUUCUGUUUUAAUUAGGCAUGGCAACAAAACUCAUACCCUCACGGUUACCCACAAAAAUCAAACUCAAUUUGACGGGCUUUCUCCGUUUUGACUGAGUUUGGGUAUGGGUUUGGGUCUUCCCCGAUUUUAAAACACGGGUACAAGACGGGUAACGGGGAUAUAGGUACCCAUGCUCAAACCCAUCCUGAAUGUAGAAAAUCAAUUUAUUACCCAUUUUAUAUAAACAGAAACCCAAACCCUAAAUCAUUUCACUCACACAAUUAGAGUCUCAGACUUUAAAAUGACACUCACUUAUCAUAGUUCUCUUCUUUCUCCUUCCAUGCCUCACACUCUCGGCCUCUCUCUUCUCCUUCACUAUAGCCAUCCAUUUCCAUAAUCUUUUUGCUGGAUAAUGCAUUACAACAUUGCGCUCGGGGAUGCAAAAUACUUUUAUUUCUAUCAACAACAGAAAACUUUCCGGGGAUGGGAUGGGGCAGGAAUAUCCGAACCCGUCGGGGACGGGGAUGAGAUUCGAUUUCUCAUCCCCGCUGGAUAUGGGUAGGGUAACAGGUAAGUAUAUGAGAGUAGAGUAUGGGGACGGGGAAGGUAAAACCCGUCCCCACCCCCGCCUCAUUGCCAUGCCUAAUUUUAAUAAAGCACUUUCAUAUAAAAAUAAUCAAUUUUUUACCUUAUGAGUUGAUGUAUGUAAGAUUCUUUAACUUACUUAUCUAUAGUAGAAAAACAAUUGGUACAUGAAAUAUAAUCACUAUUGUCUAUGAAUAUUUCAACGUUAUCAUUUUUUUUUUGUCAUGCCAUAUUGCAUAUUUGUAUAAGCUUCGAUGUUCACAAUUCAUUUUCUUAAAUUAUGAAGUUUGCAUUUCAGAUAUAUCAUAAAAUAAGUCCAUCACAAUAAAAGGUACAAUCAUAGUAGUGUUUAUUAAUGAAAAUGAUAACAAUCAAACAAACAUUGCAUAAAAACAUGACCAUACAAAGGGAAAUAUGAGGGAAAUGGAUUCCUUCUCAUCUUUUAUUCAAAGCAAGAAACAACAAAACAACCAUGACAUUUUCUAGAUGGAGACACUGUUGGGAAUGCCUCUGAAAGUCAAUCCUGGCUCACUUGAAGGAUAGAGCACAGUGUAUGGCAUCUUCACUGGCCCAUUCCUGUUUCUCAAUGAUUCAUCGUUGUUCCUUUCAAUGAGCUUUUGCUCAAUUUCAGCCAACUUCUUUCCAAACUUCUUGAAGGCCUCUACUGGCUCUGAAUCGUAAGUCCAAAGAUCACCUUCGAUUCUGUGUCCAAUGUAUUGCUCAUCAGAAACAUGUGUUGACAAUUGCUCCAUAACAGAUAUGUUCACAACGGUAUCCGUUUUUGGUGUGAUUGUUCUCAAAUAAGCCUUCUCGUAAUCCUUAGCAAGCUCGUCAUACUCAGGGGUUCCUUUCUCAGGCAUGAAUCUUCUGCUUUUAGUUGGUCGGUUAACAAUGUAUCCACCGUACGGAUAUUGUCCAAAAUUAACAGCUGCAUGAAGUGCUGAAGCAAUCCAUAUGAGGGUGGUGCAAGUUUCAAUCAACUCUGUACGAGUUUCCAAUUUAACCCACUUAUCAGUCUUCGAGUCACCAUGACCCACUUCUACAAGUUCUUUCCAAAAUGCUUUGAGUUCCUCAUCAUCUUUAACAUCUUUAUCUGACUUGUAGUAGAAAUUGACAUAUUCAUCAACCCAUGACUUAAUAGCAGCCCAUAUCUCUAGUCCAUCAACAGCAUAUGGAUAAUCCUCUAUCAGAAGACGCAGACCAUGUGGAGAUUUUGGAUCCUUAACAGCCACACCUCUAGAUAACAAGCAAGGAAGAUAAUAUUAACAUACAAAAAUUUAAGUGAUAUUAAUAACUAUUUCGAACUUAUUAAUUUAAGUUGGCUAGAAUUUGUUAAUAGAUAGUUAGCUUAUUAAUUUCGUAGUUUCUUUGUUCAUUCUCUAUUUCUCUAUGGAUACAAAACAAAACUCUUGCAUCUAAACUGACAUCUCAUGGGUGUAAAAGAUUAUUUUUGAGAUCAAUGUCUUUCUAAAAAUGGACUAGACGACGAUGUAAUAAUUUGUAAGGUCACCUUUUGAUUAGAUCAUUAGGUAGUCCUUGAUCUUGGAAAACCCAAUCCUUGUAAACUUCAGAAGACAAUUCCAUUGAAUAACUUCCAAACAAGUAUGUUGACUCUAUAAUACCCCCUGCUUUGAUCAAGGUAUCUCGCGCAUUGGCAUUUAUGUUCAUUGUGUUACGAUAGUGUGGAAGUAAAAGUUUAUGAAUAGGGUGAACCACACUAAGAUGCCUAUUUGUUGCUAUGAUGAAUGGCUCAACAACAGCAUGAGUGUUCAACCUGUCACACAUGUAGAUAUAUAUUCAUAAAAUUACUCGGAUAUAUCAAAUAUUAGUGUUUGAUUGUAGAAAAAAUGAUUAAUGAAAUUCAUACCAGUGGCUGAUAAGUUGGUGAUAGCAUGCGUCAUUCACAACAGCGUAAGCCUUGGCAAGGUGCCAAAUUGAAGCAUCAACACCUUCACUUGCAGGCGUGUAAAUAGUAGUAACAGUACCAUCACCAGCAGGAUGUGGCACAUGUAGUUCAAUGGAUAUUGGCUUCAAAGUUCCAUCAUCUUGCAAAGAGAGAAGGGUCGUUGAGGCAUAGGCCUUUGCGGCGCCAUUUGCAUUUACUUUCCUCAAAUAUGGUAAGAUUGCAUCUUGGUAAUCAACUACGUAUAAUCUAAGGUCCUUGAUAGUCUGUUAGACAGAAUAAAAUUUAGCCAUUAUGGUUCCUUUGAAGAAAAAAAUGAAUUCAACAUAAAAAUAAUAGUAAAAACAUUAAUUCUUCCGAGUAACAUUGAAAUGUAACACUCUUUACCUGUUCUACACUGACUCCAUCCUGCAUGUAUGGCUCGAAGUGUUUUUUGUUUAUUGUGGUUGUAUUCUACAUUUGACAUAGCAAGCAAUGAGGUUAGUUAUCAAUUAUAAAUUUAGCAUGAAAAUUGAACAUGGUAGUCUUUUUUAUUUAUUUCUUUUGUACUUGCUUAAAAAUAUUUAACUAUUAAGUUUAAUUACCCCAACUUUUUUGAUGACGUUUGGAUUCACACCAGCAAUCAUCUCCCUUGCAAAUUCCUCAUCAGUCAUCCAUGCAGUGCGAUCCUCUACUCAUAGUAAGAAAUUUUCAAAAGAUUCAUGAGCUUUCUUUAUAUGAUUGUGUAUAUAAUUAAAUAUAUUGUUAGGACUAGGAAUUUCCGACUAAUAUUUACCUUGAAUCACUAGUGGUGUUGAAAACUUUGGAUGUUCACCAGCGAAAAGCGAGAGCACGUCAUCAAAGGAGUUAAACUCUACUUGAUCAUUUUGUAAUCUUACUAGCGAUCUUAAUUGAGGUGUCUCAUAUUGAGAUAUUGAUUUGAUGGUGUUAACAACAAAGUCUGACGAUUUCGGAGGGAUAAUUAAUUCAUCUCUUGGAAUGUAAAAAUAGUUACUCCGACUCUCAGUCUCUGGAUCUGUUCAUUAUAGUAACAAAAUAUGUUUUGUCGAAAUAAGUAAAAAUAUAUAUCACAACAAAAAAUUGCAAACAGACACAAGUGUUUGGAGUCUCACAUUUCUCGAGGUGUUUUCUGCCAGUUCUUCCCCUUCGAGGGUAAGGCAAGGCAGUUGAUCCCCCAAGAACUGGACGAUACAAGCAAGGAUUUUGGUCUGGUUGACCCAAAUCAUUGUAGACAUCAUAAUCAUAUAUUCUGUCCCAUUCCUUACGCUCUCCAGUUCCAUCUCCUCUUAAAGUAUUCAAUUCUUCUUGUCUGUAGUACAGUAAUGGAGCUGGUGUUUCCCUUAGAAGGUAUGCCUACAAAAUUUUAACCAUUGGGUGCUGUCAAGUUUUUGAAAAAAGAAAAAUAUACAUUUAAAAAGUUACAUGAAAAUGAUAAAAUGGUUUGAGCUCAGGUACGUGAGUUCAACUUCCUCUACAAACAUUUUUAAUAACUAAUCGUUAAUAUUUGUCGCUCGAAAAAAAUAUUGAACAAGAUAUAUGUUGGAUAGAAUUGAUAUCAUUACCUUGUUGGCAAAGAAAAUGCGUUCAGUUUGGUACUUUUCAGCAUUGUAAAUCCAUGAGUUGCAAAUAAAGUUUGUGGUUUCAUGGCUUUCAACAUCUUCAAGGGUCAAACUCACAAGGAAGAUUUCAUCUUGCGUAAAAUUCUUAACAUAGAAAGCUCCUGGAAUUCCCAUGUGAUUGGGAUCCCAUUCAAAAUGAAUACUGAAAGCAUUUUGUAUGUCUCCCAAAUUUGGUAUGGAAGUAACAAAACCAUCCAUAAACGUUUCCUUUCCCACUUUUCCUUUUCCAGUAGCUAUGUUAAAAAUGUCAAAUAUUAGUUUCUCAGUUUCACAAAUGAUGAUGAUUCUCAACUAAUUAGUUUUCAAAUAUUAAUUUUUUUUUACAACUAAUUUUUUUUUUCGCCUAUACAAAAUUUGUCAUCCAUGUGCACGUUAUUGUAUAUAGUUAUAUAAAGAAAUUAUUACCAUCAGCUUUGGAAGCACUAAUCAACUUGAAACCCACAGAAGUGUCCAACAAGGUAGGACGAACGGUAUCACCUUCAUUCUCAACAACAGUAUUACCACCAAUAACUUUGUAGUUCAAUGCAUUCUUUUUCAUCAAAACCACAGUUCCCUUCAGCUUUGUGACCAUGUUCAAUGAAGUCAUCUUUGAUGCUUAAAUGUAUUACACUAUCUUUGGCUAAUGAAAGAAAUGUUUGUGUCUUGUAACCAUGGGGAUGCUUGGUAUUUAUACUACUUGAUGGGAUCAUUUAGGUUUUUGUUUUUUUGAAAAAUGCUAACUUUGGGCCCAGGGGCGGAGCCAUAAAUUAAAUAAUGGGGGGACCAAGUUUAAAAAAUAUACUCUAGUUAAACAAAAAAAAGUUCAAAUCUACUAAAUAUAUGAGAAAUUUAAGUUACAUUUGAUGUUAAUAUUGUGAGAAGAUAGAAAAAUUAGAUUCAUUUGUGCAUAUAAUAUAAGACUUCAAAUAAAAAUGCUAAUGAUGGAGGGACCACAUUGACAUUUCUAAUGAAAUAACAACAUAUAUAGCAAUAUAUUAGGAGCAUAAAAAAAUUUAUAAGAAAAUUUGGGGGACCAUGGCCUCCCCUGGCCACCCAAGUCCCUCCGCCCCUGCUUGUGCACUUAGGGCACAUGUUAAGAAUUCUGUUAAUAGAAAUUAUGUAUAAAAAAUUGUGUUAAUUUACUGCUCAAAAUGUUUAAUAUUAAUUUUUUACAAUAAAUUCUUACCAUUAAUUGAAUGACAUUAAUGUUUAACAUGUGUCAUAAGGACACAAAUUAGCAUGACCCUUGUUUUUUUACUAAAAUAUGAUAUUCAUUCAAAUUGAUAGAGUAUAAUAGAAAUAAGGGGUAAUAGUCAUUUUGGUCAUGAAUGUGUAACAAGUAGCAAUAAUGGUCCUCAAUGUAUCGAAAUUUCAAAAUAGUUCAUGAUUGUGCACUUUAUUAGUCAAAAUAGUUCCUAACAUUAAAAUAGUUCUUUAAUAUUAUCAUAUUAGUUCUUCAAUAUACUUACAUAUUGUUGUAUGAGACUUUAUAAGUACUUAGUUAUUCCUUCAAAAAAAAAAGUGCUUAGUUAUUGUUAUUUCAGUCAAUAUAUGACAAAAGUUAUUGUGAAUAUUGAGAGAUUAUUUUAGCGUCAAAGACUAUUUCGAUUAACAAAGUGCACAAUUUGGAACUGUUUUAAAAUUUUAAUACAUUGAGAGAUUAUUGUGACCACUCGUGACCAAAAUGACCAUUACCCUAGAAAUAAACACAAAUUCAACAUCACUAGAAAAACAAAAAAGAAUAAAUUUGUAAACAAACUCACAUCACUCAAAUUAAUAACAUAAAACAUCAAAAUACAUACAAAUAAUAUGAUAAAAUUAAAUUAUCAAAGUACUUAUGUCUUCAUAUCAACAACUUUAACGCCUAGCUUAUUGAUUAAUCAAAGUUGAAAUGUGGCAAUAUAACCAGAACAAUACCACAACAAUUUAUCUAAAAAAAUAAAAUCCACCACAAUUACAAGAAAUAAAAUACGUCGCACCAAAUUGUUAGCAACUAGUUUCUAUAUCUUUGUUAAUUCACCCACAAGUUGUAUUGAACACAUUUUAAUUAAUGAAGUGAUAUAAUUUUUCUUUCCAAAAAAAAUCGUCGCACCAAGAUGACAAUGUCACAUUAAAACGACGAAAUCAAAAACAAAAAAAAAAACCUAAUCUAUGUGAAAAUUAUUAGUUUUUAUUUUUCGUGAUGUCCGGGGUUCGAACACCGGACCUCGCAUAAUUAUGCAUCGUCCUUACCAACUGAUAUAAGCUCAGAAGGACAUUAUUUUUUUUUUAUGGUCGCUGGGGUUUAAACUCCGGACAUUGCAUAUAUUAUGUUUUGUCCCUAUCAACUGAGGUAAGUUCACGAGGACACGGGGACAUUAAUGUCUAUUAAAAGAGAGAGCAAUAUAAUUUUUUUUGUACAAAUAAUACCUAAAAUCAAUCUUCUUCCAUCAACAAAGAAGAAGAAAGAAAAAACUUAGACUAUUACUUUUCCCAACUUAUAUUUUACUAGCGAGUCCUGUGAUUUUUUCAAAAAUGCUCCUGUGAUUAUCAGAUUUUAAAAUUCGAACUGAGUUUUUUCUUUAUUAUAGGGUGAAAAAAAUGAGUCUUUGUCCAACUCGGAUUUUAUAAUCCAAAAACCUCAAAAAAUAGGACGCGCUACUUAAUUUUUUCUGAUCAUAUAAUCCAAACAACCCUUAAACACCCUUUUUCAAGGAAAAGACAGUGCAAAUUAUAUAAUCUUAAUUGUAUCAGCACCAAUUCCGAACUUUUUUGUAGCAUGGAUAUUCAUUUUAUGGACAAUAUUAAACUUCCUAACUCUCAUUCUUCUGUUUUAGGUCAUUGUUAGCUGUUCGUAGUCAAAAAUCUGAUUUUCGGGCUACUUGAUCGGAUUGUUCUGAAACAUCCCCUGAAAAUCAGAACAAAAUCAAGUAUUAAGACUCCUGUAGAAGAGAUUUCUUACGUGACGCUGCCCCUCAAAAUCCAAAAUUCAAUCAUUUAGACCUAUUUUUUUAUUUUUUAGAAUUUUUCAUAUUCUAAUUAAAAUCUGGAAAAAAAAAAUUGUAUUAAUUUUAUUUAAUUUUUAGAAUUUUUGAUUCUGAUUUCUAAUUAUACAUAAAUAUAUUUUAGAUUAUAAAAUCCGAACGGAUUUUAAAACAAAAUAACUUUUGGCUUCCCUAUUUUUAAUUGGGGCCGGCUAAAUUAUGAAGCUUAUAUAAUUACGUACUCCUUUUUUCUUUCUUUCUAAUAUAGUCAUUUUUUUUUGCUUUUUAUCAAGUGGUCAUUAAUUACUCUGUGUUGCUCUACUGUCAAUUGUAUUAAUACGAGUACGUAGUAGUAGAUCCAAAUCUUCCGGUCACGAGAUACUGUGAUACACUACUGUUCAUGGUCCCACAUUGAGAAAAACUCCCAUUAUAAAAAAAACACGUUAUAAAACAAACACGUUGUGAAAACCGACUACUUUAUUGGAGUACAUUUUUUGGUCACUAUUAUAAAAAAAGUCAAUUUUUUUAAUUCAUUUACUAAUUGAUAUAUGUGAUUUAUAAUAAAGAUUUUAUACAACAUUAAUCGCAUGAAUUUAAAAUAUAGAUUUUUGUUUAUGAUGGUAAUCAGAUGAUAUAUUUACUAGUGCACAAUAAACACGUUUGGAAAGCCUUGUAAAAAGAAAAACGUUAGGAAAGCCAGUUAUUCUAUUCGUUUUGUUUGGGAAGUCCAAUUAUGAAUAGCGUGUACACCGUCGUCUAAAAGAAAAAAUUAAAAACAUCAAAAUGAAUGCAAUCGUUAAUUUUAUAACUUUUACAUGCUAAAGAGUAUUUUUAGGGUAUUGGUUAAGUGGAUAUAAAUAAAAAUAUUGUGUUGUAAAAUGGUGAAGAGUAAUGAAUUUAACAUUUUAAACGUUAAAAUGUUGUUGAAUCUAAUACAAAUAUACUAAUUUUGAUUUCUUUAACAAGUGUCUUAAAGGCAUUUGUUAGCAUAACCUUUUGUACAAAUAUAUCUAUAAAAAUCUGUGAAACAUUAAAUACACUCACUGAUAUUAAAAAGACAAUUGUUAAAUAAGGGAUAAAAAAAUGUUUAAAAUAACAACUUCAACUUAAAAGUUGUGAACUUUUUUUUUGAAAAUUUUCUUAUAUUAAUAACCAGAGGAGUAUGUAAUUAAACUAAAGAGGUUGAACCGUGAGAGACGUUUUAGAGUUAAGGGUUAUGAUCUUAUGACACAUGAAAUUUCUAUAAAUAAUAAAUUUUUAUUGAGAAUAAUUUGGUAAAAAAAUAUUUAUUGAGAAUAAGUUAUUUUAAAAUUUUAAAAAAUAAAUUGACACAAUUUCUGAUAUAUAGUUUCUAUAUUUGGUAUAUUAAAAUUUGCAUUUUUCUAGAGUUAAAACUACUAAAAGGUUUAACUGAUUGAUUGAAAAAAUAUCGAUAAUUUGUAUUGAUAAAACUAUUAUUAGUGGUGAAAAAUGCAAAUGAAUUGGAAAUUGAAUAAUGUUUUGAGUAAAAAAAUAGAAUAAAUGCUUAGUUCAGUAAAAUGUUAUUGAUAAUCAACAAUUUAUAAUUUACAUAAUGGAAUAUAAGUUUGAAUAAAAUUUGCAAAGAUUGGUUUUUUUUUUAUCUAAUAAUGAAAAGUUUGGAUCUGUAUAGUUAAAAACAGUGAAUAGUUAAUAAACUAACUUAUAAAUAAAACAUAUUAGUUUGAUGAUUGAUUUGCAGCAUUUGAAAAAAUUUGUAGUUAAACUAACUUAAAAAUAUGGAAUGACAUAAAAAUGAUAUCUUUAAUUAAUAUUUAAUUUUUUCAAUUAAGAGUGGAGGGGUAAAACUGAGAAAAAUAAUGAUAAUCUUUUUUUUUUUUAGAGCAAAAAUAAUGAUAAUCUUUAAACUUUAAACUACUUGAAUUUACUCAUAAAAAACAAUAUACACUAUUAAAAAUAAGUGAUAAGCUCGUAUGAAAGUGACACUUACGAAACAUGUCAUUUCUAAUCAUAUGAGCUUAUAAGACAUAUGUAUAUCAGCUAUAAGCUCGAAAAUUAGGCUUACCAAACCGACCAUAUAUCACUCUCUUAGAAUGACUUUUUUUUAUAGGGAUUUCUUAGGAGGACUUGAAAUUAUGUUACAAAAAUCUUUAAACAUAUCUAAAACAUGACAAUUCUUUAGGAAGUUUCAAUAAUUCAAUAAAGAUAAAACUGUGAAAUGUAUAUUUUCCUAAUGCAAUAUACAAAUUCAUUAUUAAUGAUCCUAGUUAAAUUGUUCAUUGUAGAGAUUUUUUUUAUUGAAAGUGUCUAAAUUAUGUUUGCAGACCUCUUAUCAGAUGAAUUAAGUAUUCUUGUUUUUUUAGGCUUAUUUGAUCCAUUAAUCUUCUAAAUAAUUUCAUAUUUUCAUUUUGGUCCCACAAUUAAUAAAACUUACAUUUUAGUCCCUCAUUUUUUUCUCCGUUUGCCAAAUAAAUCAUGAAUGUUAAAUUUAACUCCAAAUAACUAUGGUAAACCAACCUUUACAGUGGUCCACCAUAGACCUUAUUAAUUUUUUUAAUUUAAACCAUUUGAUCUGUUUUUAAAAAGGAUGAUCAUUUGAUUACACAAAUGUAUUUUAUCUUACAAUUAUUCAUGUCGGGUUUAAUCUUAAAAUGCCCAGUUUGUGAGAGGAUAUACAUAAAGUUGAAUCUUUGAUGCGUCUUCAUGCUUUGAGGUUAAAUUUUGAUUCCUUUUAUUCAAAUUUUAGUUUAGGCUUUUACUUGAUUUUGGAACGAAAGAAUACAUAAUUGGAAUUUGAAAGAGAGAGGUUAAUCAUGUGAUGUUUAUUUUGAUUUUUGUUUCCGGAAAUUUUUUUUGCUUGUUCAUGAGUGAUGAUGAAGGUAUUGUUGAAUUAUGAAGAAGGGGAAGGAAGAAGAUGAAGAAAAGGAAAUAAAAUUAGGUGUUGUUGAUUCACCGUAAGAUAAAGUAGACUUACAUAAUCCAAUGGUAAGUAUUCUCUUUAUAAAAAUCAAACGGUUUAAAUUAAAAAAUUAAUAAGGUCUACGGUGGACCACAUAGUUAUUUAGGGUUAAACUUAACAGUCAUGAUUUAUUUGACAAACGGAGGAAAAAAUGAGGGACUAAAACGCUUGUUUUAUUAAUUAUGAGACCAAAAUGAAAAAUCUAAAAUUAUUUAGGGGACCAAUAAAUCAAAUAAACUUUUUUUUUACAAGCAAAUAGUCUUGCUUUGAUUAUGUAGUAGUUAUUAAUGAUUUUGCAACAAAAAAUUCUAAGGAAACAAGUCUUGCUUACAAUAUACUAAUAACUUUGAAGUUCGUCUGACAUAACUUUUGGCUUCCAUAACUGUUCUAACACCUUAUUUUCCUUUUCCAUUUGCUUUGAACCCUCAAGAUUCACAAAAGGAUAUCAUAGCCAUAUUCAUAGUUGGCAAAUGAUAUGUGACAAUAGUCAUCUCAGGAAUCCCUUUAUUUGGCUAACUUGAAUCUGAAUUCUCCGAUAGCCUUUUGAAUGGCUUUCUUGAAGACUAUGUAGUUAAUUAGUCAUGAGCGAUUGUAUGAAUUUUUCCACUUACAAUAUUUCUUUUACUUUUCAAUGUUGUCCUUGUUAAUGACAAAAGGAACAAAUGCAACUUGUGGUACUCAAGUUAAGUGUGUGUUUGGUUUGGCGGCAGAGUUAAUUGAUUCUGGUAGAAUUGAGUUUGAUAGAAUUGAUUAUGGUUAAAAGUGAGUUUGAUGUGAAUUGAUUUAUGUUUCGAUACACUCACUUAAAAGUGAUUCUUAUGAGUUGAUGUUGUUUGGAUAAUUUUAAUCAAAAUUGAUUUUGAAUGUGCAAUGACCAAAUUAUCUUUUUAAUUGUUUUUGAAACUAAAUAUCAUAUUUUCUUUUCAGAUAAUUAUUUCUACUUUUCUAAAAUCAUAAGUACAUUUUUAUUGGUUCAUAAAUUCCUUUUAAAAUAAUUUUUUUAACGGAAGUUCCUGUUAAAAUAAUAUUCAUUAAUAAGAGUUAUUUGUAAUAUUUUGUUAUCAAACCAAUUGAAUUAUUAUUUGCUUCGACUCCUACAUAGUUCGAGCUUUUCUAGUUUUAGAAUUAAAAGCAAAAAAAAAAAAAAAAAAAAUGUAAAAGGAAAAUGACUCUACAUGAAUUACAAUGGGCCCAUUCAUCUCUCAUCUCUAACCUGAAGAUUAGAUAACAGUACCAGGCACCAAUAAAAAAAAACGCAGGACAAUAAAGGGUAAAACUGGAAAUAAUAAUGUUACUUCUACAUAAUUGAUUUUUGUGGACGGAAAUGCUACAUAUUGUAGCUUCACCUAAAAUCGAUUGUAAAAGGAACAAUCACAUUUUUAACAUGGGUACCAAACACCUUCCAAAUAUAGUAGAACUACGUUUAUCAGGUGUAAACGUACGUUCAUGGAUGCCAACCGCAGAAUCAAACAGGGACUAAGAUCUUCUCCGUUUAUAACUUUUUUCAUUUGUUUCAUUUGGAGAGAUAAAAACACAAAAAAAGUAAAAAAUAAUUAAUGAUAAUGGGAUCCACUUGGUAAUAAGACCCACCAUCUAUUUUUUGUGUCUAUCUCUUUGCAAAUGACAUCUUCCAUUUAUUUUUAUAAGUGAAAAGGAUCUUUACCCGUGGAACUCAUUUUGGUUCUCCUCUUCGUAUUGUGCCGUGAAUCUUUUGACAUUGUUGAUUUGUCAUCUUUCUCAUAAAAGAUGAGAAAAUUAGAAGUUUUGUCUCCUUUAGGGACGUACGGGACCAUUUUAUCACCCAUAAUAGACAAGGCUUUGUAUACACAUGGGCCUAUUGAUGAGUUAUAAAUUAUCCUAAAAUAUCUUGAGAAUAUUGCUCUUCUUCCAACAAUUUUUGCUCGUUUUCAACUGAACUUUUAAAAAUAUCCCUGCGUAAGUUAACUUACAUAGGUGUUAAACUCUGCGUGACUUAAGUCACGUUGAAAUAUCCCAAUAUUUUCAUCAAUCAUUUCUUUUCCAUAGCAUCAAUGAAUUAAACAAGGAAGAGAACAACAAGUUCUACAGUCCUAAAAUAAUUGAGAAAGAGGAAGAGAGCCAGGUGGUGGACAAAAUAUAAUAAUUCAAUUGUUGAUAUCAUGUUGAAUUCUGUUGCAUAUUAAUAAAAUAUCAAACAGUUGGAAUGUUGGCAUGUGAAGAAUCAUAAAAUAGUUAGAAUUUGAAAGAAAAGUUGUGGCGCAUAUGAGCAUAUAAGCAUAUUGCAUACGAAAGGAGUUGAGAUUAUAUUAGGGUUGUUGUUUUAAUUCAUCGAUGCUAUGAAGAAGAAAUGAUUGAUGAAAAUAGUGGUGUUUUUCAACGCGACUUAAGUCAUCCAUGGUAUAACACCUGCGUGAGUUAAGUCAUGCAGGUUUAACAUCUUUGUGAGUUAACUCACGCAGGGGCAUUUUCGGAAGUUCAGAUGGAAGCGAGCAAAUUUUUUUGGGAGAAGAGCAGUAUUCAUAUCUUGACUAUUAUUUUCCUCAUCCUACUUAUUUCUCGCGCGUUCUAUUCUUUUACGAAAAUGUCUAUGUGAUUUUCGAAAUUUAUAAUCCGAAUUGAGUUUCUUCUUUGUUAUGGGGUGAAAAAAAGAGUUUUUCACCUAUUUCGAUUUUAUAAUUCAAAAACCUCAAAAAAUAGGACGUGUUCCUUGACAGUGCAAUGGCCUCUGCCCAUUAGAUUUAUCAUGUGCAGUGGAAUGGCAGAGCCCGGUUGACCACCACUGCAAGUCUGAUCUUGUGGGUUGUUGCGUAAUGCUUGUUAAGUUGUUAAUUAAAAUUUGUAAACACACUGUUUUGCAGAAGAAAAAAAAAUUAAGCAUGAAAGGAUGAAGAACAGUGAUGGUUAUCGGAUCAGGCUUUGAAAUGUAUAUUUUCCUAUUUCCUAUAGUGAGAAAAACUCCCAUUAUUUAACUACUAGUGCACAAGAAACACGUUGGGGAAUACUCUAAUGUGCAGUUAAAACCCAAGAGGCUCAAACGAGAGAAGCUUGAGUUAAAACUACUAGUAGUAAAAUAUUUAAGGGUUAUACUAACAUGUAUCUUAAAAAUUCCAUAAAUAACAAUUAUUUAUUGAAAAAAUAAUUAAUUUUCAUAUUUUAACAAAAUAAGUUGGCACAAUUUUAAAGCUGAAGUUUCCUAUCGGAUUCUUUAACAUGUAUUCUCUCCGUUUUAAAUUAUAAUAAGAAAAAAAAAACUCUUUUUUUUUGUCCCAAAUUAUAAGCAAAUUGCAUUCAUUUUGCUACCAUUUUCAUUUUCUUUAUAAUUAAUAACCAAUGGAAAUUGUUUUUACAUCUUUUUAGGAAACUUAUUUCAAGAAUAACACAAAAAACUAUACUACAAAUUACUAUAUUUUAGAUUUCUUAAUAAGUGUAAAAUAAAUCUUUUUUCUUAUAAUUUGAAACUGAGAGAGUACCCUUAGCAUUCCCAAUGUUCAAUUAAUUGAAAAAAAAACGGAAAUGAUAACUUGUAACAUUAAGAUACACAAUAAGAAAUCUAAUAUAGAAAUAAAAUCUUGAAAAUUGUGUUUCUUUAUUUUAAAAGUUUAAAUUUUAAUCUUAGAUUUAUAAAACUAUUAUAAUUACAACUAUUAGUGGUAAAAAAAAAUGUAAAUGAAUUGAAAAUUGAAUACUUCUUAUGGUCUCAAUUAUAAACCACAUACAUUAUUUAUUAAAUAAAUCUAAAAUAUGAAAAGUUGUUUAUAAUUGAGACGGAAUGGAGGACACGUUUUGAGUGAAAAAAAAUACUCCAUCCUAUCAUAAAACAAGAUCUGAAUCUUGGAUAAAUUGAACCUAAGGUUCACCAAAAAGAUUUGUAAGUAAACUCCACAAUGAAAAGGUAAGGCUCUGCAAAAAUAAAAGUGCACCAAAAUUCAGGCAAGUCUUUAGAUUCUUAUAAUACAAUAUUGAUAAGGAAAAUGCUGAAAAGCACGAUAAGGAUUGUCGUCACAUUUGCACGAACGGUUUUAUAAAUGUCAUUUGGUUAUUUUUCCUAAUUUUUAUUUUGCACAAAAUGACAAAUCUUGCCUCUGCUGGAUCUUUCUCAUGAGAAAUCACAAAAAAACACCUCAUUCAAUGAUGGUUCUCCAAAUCAACUUUUGCAUGUGUCUUACCACCCUUGUUGAACGUGGAUCAUGUAUGCUAUUAUUGCUUUGGUAGCAUUGUUUUUUUUUUCACUAUAUAUAUAUAUAUAUAUAUAUAUAUAUAUAUAUAUAUAUAUAUAUAUAUAUAUAUACUAUAUACAUGCAAAAGCAUCCAUAAACUAAAAAACAAAUCCAUUAAUAAAGUAAAUAGGGUGCUAUUGAACAUGUCGUGCGGCUUUUCAUGUGUUGAGUCCUCGUGCGAUAUAGCAGCUCUCUAUUGAUAAUCUAUAACUUCAUUGACUCAUAUCAGAGUUUGUGCUUGUGCUCUCAAUUAUCCCUUUUGAUUAACUAUCUUAUGAAUAAAUAGAACUUCCAACAAUUACAUCUACUAAUUCACUUGCCUCAAUGCUUACAAAUAACUUGAGAAAAACUCACAUCACCGGUUUACAUAUAUUAUUGAACAAUCUAAGGACAUAUAGUACCAUACCCCCAACUUAAAAUUUAGAUGUAAUUGUAUAAAAUCAAUCAAAUUCUGUCAGAACAGUUCAAAACAUUUAAAUAUGUCUUUCGGUUCGAUAUUUCUAAUGUUAUGUUAAUUCUCAAAAUAUUUCAACAUUGACUAUAAACCAAAAAAUAUCAAUCACAAUCGAGUUUGACGACAUUUAUUUGGAUAUAUGUUGAUCUGGACUUAAAUUCAAAACUAUAGGUUCUAUAUUCAAUAUCUAAAAUUAAGAAAUUUGAAAUCUUACAAAUUUCAACAAAAUAAACAAACUGCAGGCAAAUCUGCAGGAAAAGACAUAUGAAAAAUCGCAGGAAAAUCCGCAGCAAUAUAUGUGAAAUUUCCUAAUGAAACAGAAAUAAUAUUUGAUAAUAAUUCCGCAGGUAAAUCCUCAGCAAAAUAAUAGGUACCUGCGGAUGUUCCUGCGGCAUCUAAGAGGUCAUCAUAUAUUGGCAGCAGUUGGUAGAAACCACAUAUUCCAUGGGAUAGCGUGAAACCUUGUUGCUUUUGAACUCGGGGUGGGGUAUUCCCCAUGGCUGCUCCUGGACCAAUUCCACGUGAUUUCUAAUGGGAGUUCUUGCACUACAACAUGAUUAAGAUUUAGUAACAAUUGAAAUUUGUAACUAAAUUAAGAAAAAUGUUACUAAUUAAAUUUAGUAACAUUUGAGCAAUUGUUAGGUAAAGCCCGUGUUAUUAAAAAGCUUCAGUAACAUUUUAUAUCAUAAUUGUAACAGUAAAAAAAUGUUGCAUAUUUAUAUUUUGUAACAUUUUUUGUAUGACCAGUAACACUAAAAAAAUGUCACAUUUAUAUUUUUUGAAAAGUUGUAAAAAAGUGUCGCAAAGUCGUCUAGACUAAAAUUGAGAAUCUAUCGAAUUUGCCUUUGCUUUCACUUCAUUCAUAUUUAAAUUAGCCAACAAUAUUUAAAGAUAAACUUAAUUCAAAUUUACAACUCCAAAUAUUUCCCCAUACAAACAUUUGAAAUUUGAUUUCAUAAUGGAAAUGAAGUAUGCAACACAAUUUCAAUUACAUACUAUAACUAUUAGAAGUUUUCGUCAAAUAAAGCAUGUAAAGGUAAGAAGAACAAUGUGCAAUAAGCCUUCUUUAUGAGGUAUCAAAACUAUAUAUGUAGGUUUUGUUCUAAUUUCCACUAUGAAACGUGCAUUCAAUCAGACUAGCUUCACAAACUGCUCAUCAACAAACCAUAGGCCUUUGGAAUAAUUUACACCGAGGAAAAUAAAUAUUGUGCGAGGAAGGUAUGGUCUUUGGGAAGGUAGAUGAAAAAAUAACUCAAUUGUAGAUCAUGUAUUUGGGAGUUGCACUGAACUUUUGUUACCCUUUGAUGACUUUAUUCACUUCAAGUAUUUCAUUGUUACAAUCUCCCUUGGGGCACUAAUAGUGUACAAACCAGCUUCAGUGCACACACUCCUUAUAUCAGCUCCUAGAAAGAACAAAAUCUAUGUUGCUUAGAAAAGAAAGUAAGUUGCAAAAAUUCCUAAAACCAAAAAAAGUUUUGAUUAGAAAGGAUAUAACUUGAAUACUUAUGUACUUGCAAAAGAUUGAUGGUCAGAAGGUAAAAGCUAAUUUAAAAAUUGCCCAGUUGUUAAGAAGUUCUUACUAGGAGUUAGGGUGAAGCCGAGCUGGAAGCUCAAAAUGGAUAUCCCUUUUAUAAUUCAUUUUUCUUUUGUGUAUCUUGAAUAUUUGUGUCCUGCUCUCUAAGUUAGGAAGCCAAAUUCAAAUUUACGAUCCAAUCGCCCACACCUUAAUAACGCUGGAUCAAAAGUGUGUGGCCUAAAAAUAGUGGACAAAAAGCCAUUAGAUAUAUGAAGAAAAGGACUUGUGAAGCAACCAAUUGGUACUAUUUGAGCUUUAUAUUGAUAAAGUGGAUUUGGAAAUCCAUGUCUUCUCACCAACAUAACCAUUAACUGGUCCUGGUAGAUUUGAACCCACAAGAGUUAGGAUUGGUACAUUAGGUCUUGUUCGAUAUGUUGUUGGAUUAGACAAUAUAGGUGGAUAAUCCAUUCUUGUUGAGUCGAAUAACCUACAAUAGAUCUUUGCAUUCCUCCUAUUGGGCAAAAGAUCGGUUCUCCAGCAUAAGCCAUGUUGUUCUCUUGCACAAAUUGUCAUAAGAUGACACUUGCAACAUUCCAAUUUGUCUUACUACCUUAGGUAAAUAGAACAUUAGACUAAUUAAUUUCACCCUAGUGACUUUGCUCCAUGAUUCUUAGGGGAACGCCUGCCAUCUCUUGCCAAUUUUAAGUUUAUUGGCUCGAAAUAAAAAACAAUGACUAGCAAGACAAAUUACUCAUUAAAACUCAUAAUUAAAAAACAGUGACAAUCUUCAAACUGGAUAGUAAAAGAAAACAAGAAAAACAGUUUGAGUGCAUCCACAUACCACAAUGAACUUUCAAAAUGGAAUAGCAACAUUGAUAUGAGAAAUUUGGAUGUUCAACCCAGCUGAGAUUAUAGGUAAUGGAGCAGGAUUCCUUUGUUGAUUUUUGAAUGACCCCACGUACUUGACUUACUCCUCAGACAAGCCGAAAGUUGUUGGGAGACAUGCACCGUUGUCGUGAGCUUGUUCACAGAAAUCAUGGAUUGUACCAUUUGAUCACAGCAAUGCCACAUCCCUUGCUUCUAACAUCUUGUCUAUGGUUUCUUCUUUGGGGGUAGCUUCUUCGUUGCUUUGUGGACAGUAUUCAUUUAGAGACAUAUUAUCAAUCAGUUCUAUGACUUCCCAAUUAGUUUUGAUCUUCAUGAUACCUCCAGUUGAUGCAUCAUACAAGUUUAGGGUUUCAGCCAUGUAGUGAAAGUCUGCAUGGUAUCUCUAUCUCCGUACACAUGUGACAUGGACACCUUUUCAGAAGAACUUUGAAUCUUUCUCAAGCGCUAUAGAAUGUUUCCCUAUCUUGCAUUUUUAAGCUAGCAAUUUCCUUCUUCCUUGCCAAGUACUUCAUGUUUGGGAAGAAGCGAUCUGAGAAUUCCCUCUUGAAUUGAUCUCAAGUAGAGAUCGUGUCAGUUGGAAGUGAUAUAAGCUAGUCCUUCACUCGUUUAUUUAGACAUUGUACAAACAAACAAAUCAUUUGUUGGAUUUGGAUACACCAUGUGGGUUGAUUGUGUCGCAGGCCUUCACAAAGUGUAAGAGAUGUGCGUUAAAAUCUUCAGACUCCUUUCCUGAAAAUUAGUUGUCCUACAUAGAAUUGAGGACAUGGUUCUUAAUAUCAAACACCACGGGGUUUGCAGGUUGGAACCUGAGAGACAUUUAAUCAUAGUUGGUCUUUUAUAAUCUCCUAGAAUAUUACGAGGAGUUUCGUCUGUCAUUUCUGAAUCGUCAGAUGAGACGUCUUGAAUGGAGAUAGUAGCUUCUUUGUUCGCCUCUUGUUUACCUAACCAAUUGUAUUUUACGAAUGGCCUUUUCGAUUCUUUCAAUGUUUGGAUAAAAAAGAAGGUACAUGAAUCUACACCACGUGGGAGGAAUUUGAACAAAACAAUACUAGAAUAUUUUUAGUAUUUUUAGAAUAAUAAAUAAAUAAAAACAAAUAAAGAAAGUUACUAUUAAAAAAUAAAAACAAAUCUGAAACUGUUUAACACUUUUUCUACCGUUUUGUUAAUGCAUUUCCCUUACUCGCUUCGAUCACUACUAUAAUAAAAAAAAACAGUUUAUACUAUUAUAGACUAAAUAUAUCAGUUAUUCGAUUAAUAAAAAAAUGAUUUUUUUUUUUUUUUUGUUUAUAAUAGUGAUUGUAAUAAGUAUAAAAUAUCAAUUACCGAAAUGUAUUGUUUGAGAUUGUUUGUGUUAGUCAUAUAACUCAAUCCCCAAAACAAAGUGACUCGCAUUUUGUCAGCGCUAAUACAAUAAAAUAAGGGGAAAUUAUAUUGACCUCCCCUAAGGUCUCAUUAAAUGAUACAAACACCCCUCUUAGUUAAAAAUAUACAUUAACCUCUCAUAAGUUUUCGUUAAAUAUGAUGGUGAGAAAAACACAAGAAUGGGGGUUGAAUUGUGUUGGUUUUUUCUUCUUUUUCUCCUAACUGAAAAUACAGAUCAGAAGCAGAUAGAGUUCUACUUCUAAAGAGAAGUUCAGACUAAUUGCAGCGGAUAAAACAGAGAUAGAGAGAGAAGAAAGACACAAGCAAUUUAUACAGGUUCCUUCCACAUACCGAAAGUCAGUCAUGUCCCCCUUGCACUUCCAAGGAGAGUUCACUAUGUAAUAUCUGAUUACAAUUGCUCACUACUAAACUUAGUAAGAGACUUCCUAUGCUCCUGAACACAAUCAAGAGACUUCUAUUGCUCAAGCACAACUGCAAGAGACUUCUUGAUUCAAACAGAAUUACAAGAAAAAUGUUUGAGGUUGAACACUUGAUAUACAAUCAAUGGUGUUCACAAUAUAAAUCAGAUACAGACUCUAAAGACUCUAGAAUUCCUAAGAUAUGAGCUUUGAUAAGAAAUUCUAAGUGAACUUUGAAGUGGAGAACAAUUUCAGCAGAGUUUUGGCUUAGUUAAUUCUUGGUAUUGUUCUUAUAAAACUCUGAGUCUUCACUCCUUUAUAUAGAGGUGUGAAAGAGACGUUGAAUUGCCCGCACAUUCAAAAUAGAGUCGUUUGAAGCUUUUGAUCAAUCACCAAUGAUCCUUUUCCUGAUAUGGUUAUUGUCCUAUGAAGGAUCAAUUUCAAAUGUAUUCCCUUUGAGAAGAAACAUUGUUGCAGGCAAAGUUGUUUUUCUUGUCUUGUAGCAGAGACAAAAACAGAGUAGUGGAGAUAGUGGUUGUACACUUCGUAGAAACGUACUAUGUCAACGCUCUUUGAAGAAUUAGCAUCCAAUGCCUUCCAAAAUAGCCGUUGUAAUACUUUUCCAGUCUUCUGCAAUCUUAGACGAGUUUGAAUCCUUUAAACAGCUUUUGAAGCUUUAAGUUGCAUCUCCUGAUGAACUGCAGCUUCUGGUGAUUCACAACUUCUGAUGAACUUGCUUUUGAUGACGUCAUCACUUCAGGAGCACUUUGUCUUCAGGAGCACUUUAACUUCAGGAGCAGUUUUCUUCAAACGCUUUAAGCUUCCCUUUUUGUUGAUGUAUUUGCUCUUUAUUUGUUCUUCCAAGACCUUUUUAAGAUGUCAAAUUUUUGUCUAUAGUCCUGUACACUUGAACAAAUAUUAGCAUAUCCAAUUGACAAUUUUUAAUACUUUGUUAUCAUCAAAACUCUUAAGGGUUAUUUUUGCUAAACACAUUUUGUUCCAACAAAAUAGACAAACACCUUCCUUCUUCAUUAACAAUGUUUGCUUUCUCUGUUAAAUCACAAAAAUGCCUUAAAUUACUGCACUCACAAUUUAGGGAUUCUUUCGCUUGCUAUCAUCAAGCCACCAAAUAAUAAGAUUCUCCUAUUUUGCAAGCCAUUGCAGCAGCAAAAGAAAGAAUAGAGGAUUCUUAUCAUUUUUUCAACCUUCAACCUUAUCAUUUUUUUGGUCAUGCCAUAUAAUUUGCAUAUUUGUAUUGCUAGCUUGGUAUAAGCUUCGAUUUUCAUAAUUGAUUUUCUUAAAUUAUUUUCAUAUAUCAUAUAAUAAGCCCAUCACAAUAAAAGGUACAACCAUAGUAGUGUUUAUUAAUGAAAAUGAUAACAAUCAAACAAACAUUCCAUAAAAACAUGACCAUACAAAGGGAAAUAUGAGGGAAAUGGAUUCCUUCUCAUCUUUUAUUCAAAGCAAGAAACAACAAAACAACCAUGACAUUUUCUAGAUGGAGACACUGUUGGGAAUGCCUCUGAAAGUCAAUCCUGGCUCACUUGAAGGAUAGAGCACAGUGUAUGGCAUCUUCACAGGCCCAUUCCUGUUUCUCAAUGAUUCAUCGUUGUUCCUUUCAAUGAGCUUUUGCUCAAUUUCAGCCAACUUCUUUCCAAACUUCUUGAAGGCCUCUACUGGCUCUGAAUCGUAAGUCCAAAGAUCACCUUCGAUUCUGUGUCCAAUGUAUUGCUCAUCAGAAACAUGUGAUGACAAUUGCUCCAUAACAGACAUGUUCACACGGGUUUCCAUCAAUGGUGUGAUUGUUCUCAAAUACGCCUUCUCGAAGUCCUGAGCAAGCUCGUCAUACUCAGGGGUUCCUUUCUCAGGCAUGAAUCUUCUACUUUUAGUUGGUCGGUUAACAAUGUAUCCACCGUAAGGAUAUUGUCCAAAAUUAACAGCUGCAUGAAGUGCUGAAGCCAUCCAAAUGAGGGUGGUGCAAGUUUCAAUCAACUCUGCACGAGUUUUCAUCUUAAACCACCAUGUUGCAUCCUUCAAGUCACCAUGGCCCACUUCUACAAGUUCUUUCCAGAAUGCUUGGAGCUCGGAAUCAUCUGCAACAGCUGCAUCUAGCUUGUAAUAGAAAUUUACAUAUUCUUCAACCCAUGACUUAAUAGCAGCCCAUAUCUCUAAUCCAUCAGUAGCAUAAGGAUAAUCCUCUAUCAAAAGGCGAACACCAUGUGGAAAUUUUGGAUCCUUAACAGCCACUCCUCUAGAUAACAAGCAAGGAAGAUGAUAUUAACAUACAAAAAUUUAAGUGAUAUUAAUAACUAUUUUCAACUUAUUAAUUUCGUAGUUGCUUUGUUCAUUCUCUAUUUCUCUAAGGAUACAAAACAAAACUCAUCUAAACUGACAUCUCAUGCGUGUAAAAGAUUAUUUUUGAGAUCAAUGUCUUUCUAAAAAUGGACAAGACGAAGAUUUAAUAUUUUGUAAGCUUACCUUUUGAUUAGAUCAUUAGGUAGUGCUUGAUCCGGGAAAACCCAAUCCUUGUAAACAUCAGAAGACAAUUCCAUUGAAUAACUUCCAAACAAGUAUGUUGACUCUAUAAUACCCCCUGCUUUGAUCAAGACAUCUCGCGCAUUGGCAUUUAUGUUCAUUGUGUUACGAUAGUGUGGAAGUAAUAGUUUAUGAAUAGGGUGAACCACACUAAGAUGCCUAUUUGUUGCUAUGAUGAAUGGCUCAACAGAAGCAUGAGUGUGCAACCUGUCACACAUGUAGAUAUAUAUUCAUAAAAUUACUCAGAUAUAUCAAAUAUUAGUGUUUGAUUGUAUAAAAAUGAUUAAUGAAAUUCAUACCAAUGGCUGAUAAGUUGAUGAUAGCAGGCGUCAUUUACAACAGCGUAAGCCUUGGCAAGGCGCCAAAUUGAAGCAUCAACACCUUCAGUUGCAGGCGUGUAACUAGUAGUAACAAUACCAUCACCAUCAGGAUGUGGCACAUGUAGUUCAAUGGAUAUUGGCUUCAAAGUUCCAUCAUCUUGCAAAGAGAGAAGGGUCGUUGAGGCAUAGGCCUUUGCGCCAGUUGCAUUUAUUUUCCUCAAAUAUGGUAAGAUUGCAUCUUGGUAAUCAACUACGUAUAAUCUAAGGGCCUUGAUAGUCUGUUAGACACAAAAAAAUUUAGCCAUUGUGGUUCCUUUGAAGAAGAAAAAAUGAAUUCAACAGAAAAAAUGAAUAAUACCUGUUCUACAUUGACCCCAUCCUGCAUGUAUGGCUCCAAGUGUUUUUUGUUUAUUGUGGUUGUAUCCUACAUUUCACAUAGCAAGCAAUGAGAGGUUAGUUAUCAAUUUUAAAUGUAGCAUCAAAAUUGAGCAUGAUUGUCUUUUUUAUUUAUUUCUUUUAUACUUGCUUAAAAAUAUUUAACUAUUAAGUUUAAUUACCUCAACUUUUUUUAUCACGUUUGGAUUCACACCAGCAAUUAUCUCUCUUGCGAAUUCCUCAUCAGUCAUCCAUGCAGUGCGAUCCUCUACUCAUAGUAAGAAAUUUUCAAAAGAUCCAUGAGCUUUUUUUAUAUGAUUGUGUAUAUAAUUAAAUAUAUUGUUAGGACUAGGAAUUUCUGACUAAGAUAUAUACCUCGAAUCACUAGUGGUGUUGGAAAGUCUGGAUGUUCGCCAGCGAAAAGCGAGAGCACUUCAUCAAAGGAGUUAAACUCUGGUUGAUCGUUUUGUAAUCUAACUAGCGAUCUUAAUUGAGGUGUCUCAUGUUGAGAUAUUAAUUUGAGGGUGUUAACAACAAAGUCUGACGAUUUCUGAGGGAUGAUUAAUUCAUCUCUUGGAAUGUAAAAAUAUCCACUCCGACUCUCGGUCUCUGGAUCUGUUCAUUAUAGUAACAAAAUAUGUUUUGUCGAAAUAAGUAAAAAUAUAUAUCACAACAAAAUAUUGUAAACAUACACAAGUGUUUGGAGUCUCACAUUUCUCAAGACGUUUUCUGCCAGUUCUUCCCCUUCGAGGGUAAGGCAAGGCGGCUGAUCCCCCAAGAACUGGACGAUACAAGCAAGGACUUUCGUCUGGUUGACCCAAAUCAUUGUAGACAUCAUAAUCAUAUAUUCUGUCCCAUACCUUACGCUCUCCAGUUCCAUCUCCUCUUAAAGUCUUCAAUUCUUCUUUGAUGUAGUACACUAAUGGUUGUGGUGCUUGACUUGGAAGGUAUGCCUACAUAAUUUUAACCAUUGGUGCUGUCAAGUUUUUGAAAAAGAGAAAUAUACAUUUAAAAAAUUACAUGGAAAUAAUAAAAUGGUUUGAGCUCAGGUACGUGGUUCAACUUCCUAAACAAACAUUUUUAAUAACUAAUUGUUAACAUUUGUCGCUCAAUAAAAAUAUAGAAUUGAUAUCAUUACCUUGUUGGCAAAGAAAAUGCGUUCAGUUUGGUACUUUUCAGCAUUGUAAAUCCAUGAGUUGCAAAUAAAGUUUGUGGUUUCAUGGCUUUCAACAUCUUCAAGGGUCAAACUCACAAGGAAGAUUUCAUCUUGCGUAAAAUUCUUAACAUAGAAAGCUCCUGGAAUUCCCAUGUGAUUGGGAUCCCAUUCAAAAUGAAUACUGAAAGCAUUUUGUAUGUCUCCCAAAUUUGGUAUGGAAGUAACAAAACCAUCCAUAAACGUUUCCUUUCCCACUUUUCCUUUUCCAGUAGCUAUGUUAAAAAUGUCAAAUAUUAGUUUCUCAGUUUCACAAAUGAUGAUGAUUCUCAACUAAUUAGUUUUCAAAUAUUAAUUUUUUUUACAACUAAUUUUUUUUUUCGCCCUAUACAAAAUUUGUCAUCCAUGUGCACGUUAUUGUAUAUAGUUAGAUAAAGAAAUUAUUACCAUCAGCUUUGGAAGCACUAAUCAACUUGAAACCCACAGAAGUGUCCAACAAGGUAGGACGAACGGUAUCACCUUCAUUCUCAACAACAGUAUUACCACCAAUAACUUUGUAGUUCAAUGCAUUCUUUUUCAUCAAAACCACAGUUCCCUUCAGCUUUGUGACCAUGUUCAAUGAAGUCAUCUUUGAUGCUUAAAUGUAUUACACUAUCUUUGGCUAAUGAAAGAAAUGUUUGUGUCUUGUAACCUUGUGGGAUGCUUAGUAUUUAUAGUACUUGAUGGGAUCACAAGGUUAGUUCAAAAAAGAUAAACCAUUCUUUUAUUCAUUAAUUAACUGCUACUUGUGACACAAUUGGAGCGCAUCUUAGGCUAAUUUUGUAUUUUUGUUGAUUAUUUCGUUGUAUAUUAUAAAAUAUAUCAGUUAAAUAAUCAUUUGGGGUUUUGUUUUUUACUAAAAUAUGAUAAUCAUGCAAUAGAGUAUAAUAGAAAUAUACAUAAAUUUAACAUCACCAAAAACUAAUUAAUUAAUAGCAUAAAACGAUCAAUUUGCAAACAAACGCAUAUCAUUCAAAUUAAUUAAUAGCAUAAAAUGUUAAAAUACAUACAAAUGAUAUGACAAAAUUUAAGUGAUCAGAGUAUUCAUGUCUUCAUAUCAACAACUUUGACGAUCAUCUCAUUGAUUAAAUUUAUAAUGAUCGAAGUUGAAAUGUGUCAAUCCAAACAAUACCACAACAAUCAAUCUAAAAAAAAAAAUAUUGAACGUCAGACUAAAAUGACGAAAUUACAAAAGAAAAUAUAAUCUACGUAAAAAUUAUUGAUUUUUUAUUAAAAGAGAGAACAAAUCAACACUAUAUGUCUAAAAUCAAUCAUCUUCCAUCAAUGAAGAAGAAGAAAGAUAAAACUUAGAGAUAUGGCUUCUCUUUUUUUAAUUGGGGCCGGCAAAAUUAUGGAAACAUAAAUAACAAGUACGUAAUAUUUGUUGUCUUGUGUGUGAGAGAUUCCAAAAAAAAAAUUAUAUACGCGGGGUUUUUAUUGACCAUAUUGGUGCUAUGGUCAUUAAUUACUCUUUUUUUAAUCCAAUAUGGUCAUUAAUAACUCUCCUUUGCUCUAUUGUUAAUUGUAUCAAUACGUGUACGUAGUAGUACAUCCAAAUCUUCCAAUCACGGUUCCUAUAUUGAGAAAAACACCCAUUAUUUUACUACUAAUACACAAGAAACACGUUGGGAAAUACUUACCCAAGAGGCUCAAACGAGAGAAGCUUUAGAGUUAAAACUACUAGUAGUAAAAGAUUUAAGGGUUAAUACUAUCGAAGAUUCAUUAGCUAAAAUUUAAAAAAAUUUAACAUUAAAUAUGAAUUUUUUAAAACGGCAAAAGUUAAAGAUAAAAUUAACAAAAUUUGGAUGUAGGAAUCAAAUUUUGCGACAAUUUUUUGAAGAGGAACUUUUAGUGAUGUUCUUAACACGUCUGCAAAAAAUUGUUCAAAAACUCAAGAGUUUAAGCAUAAAUUAAACAAAUUUGAAUUGAGGAGAGACUAAUACUGAGUGUAGAAUUUUUUUUUUAGGGAUUAAAAAAACUAUUAAAAUUAAGUAAGAAAUAAACUUAAAAGGUCCUAACUUUAUAAGGACCAUAAAUAUAUUUAACCUAUAUGUUUUUAGGGCAUAUCUUAAAAAUUCCAUAAAUAGAAGUUAUUUAUUGAGAAAAAAUUAAUUUUCAACUUUUAACAAAAUAAGUUGACAUAUAUAAUUUCCAAAGCUGAGUUUUCCUAUCGGAAUCAUUUAACAUGUACUCUCUCCGUCCUAAAUUAUAAGAUUAAAAAAAAAAAAAAAAAAAAACAACUCAAUUUUUUUUCCCAAUUAUAAACAAAUUGCACUCAUUUUGCUCUUCCUUUCCUUUAAGGAUAACACAAGAACUAUACUACGAACUACUAUUUCCUCCGUUUCAAAAGACACGUCGCAAUCAAAUACUCUACACAUGUCAAUGUACAACUUUGACGGUUGAUAUCUCUAAUUAUCUAAAGUAAAAAUUUAUAACAAUUUAAUAUUUUGAAAACAUUUAUCGAGACAAAUCGAACAACAUUUUACAUACCAAUCUUUGCAUUUAUAUAUUAUUUAAAAAGUAUGGUCAAAGUAAGUCAUGUGAAUAGUGCACAUUGCAAAAAUGUGACAUUUAUUUUAAAACGGAUGGAGUAUGUUUUAGUUUUUUCAAUAUGUGUGAAAUGGAGUUAUGACAUUUAUUUUAAAAUGGAUUAACAACAAAUCAACCAUAUCAUAAGUGUUACUAAGAAUCCCAUCUCUCAUGGCGGAAGCAAACACAUUGGGACUAGAUUCUAUUUCAUUAGGGAGCAGGUGACUAAUGGAGUGAUUGAGUUGCAUUACUGUCCUACAGAAUUGCAGCUUGCAGAUGGUUUUACAAAGGCUUUGAAGCUUGAUAGAUUUAAACUUUUGAGGAAGAAACUUGUUGUUGUUAACAUUCAGCAGUUAUUAAUUAAGGGGGGAGUAUUAGAAUGUUAAUACAUAACUUAACUGUUUAGAUAUAAUAUAUUCGUUGGGGAAUAUAUUAUACCCUUGGGGGUAUAAAAGUUUGUCACAAGUUAGUUAGGUAAUCAAGCUAAGUUUGAUAGUUAGAUAGCUUGUUCUAUAAGCAAGUGUUAUUGUGCCUAUAAAGGCUUUGUAUUGUGAAACUUCAAGUCUUAAUGAGAUUACACAGUUCAUAUCAAUCUCUCUAUUCUUCUCUCUUUCAUUUUUCAGUUCUAUUUUUUUUAUUUCUCAUCUUGCUAAAAACUGCUUAUUUCAAUAAGCACUUCUGCGCAUAUGAACACACGCAUAUGAACACAGUUUCUGUUCAAACAGUAACAACAAUGCCAACCCCUUUCACAUUCUAGAAGAGAAUUAACAUCUAGGAAAAGUAACUACAUCCCUAUAGAGUUCAAGUUUAGAAGGAGAUAUAUAGUUGCUUUGCAAACAUUUUUCAUAAUCUCCUUUGUCUAAUUCUUCGUGGUUGUCAACCUCUAAAUUCACCACGAAAAGGGUUUUUGGCGUCGAACCUCAUUGAUAGCCUGAAUUACAAUUUACAAGAACUUGAUCCAAGUUAAAAAUUUUGUUUUUCUUGCCCUGUUUUGAAGUUUCGGCAUGACUUGAAACUCUAGCAGUUUGUUUGUUUUGCUUUCUGUUCUGGUUUUUUUUUUUUUUUUGCACUUUAGGAAUAUCGUUCUUAGUGUAUGCAAUAUGGAUGACCUACAAUAUGACAAUUUUAACAAAUUUAGGAAGUCUUUCAUAUACAACCCCCAACAUGAAAUGCAAACACCCUCUAUACGAGAACAUACUCGUGAAUCGGUUUUGAUAAAUCAACAUCAACAAAUAGUCUAGCAAAAUGUCCAAUUACUCUAUUUCUAGUAGGUUAAUCCAAUGUAAUAUACAUUCUAAUAACACAAGCAAUCUCAAAUAAAGUUUUAGGACGUCAAUAUUCCUAAGGGAUAUCACUUAAACAAAUCUAAACAUGAUCAUUAGAAUGUUUUUUAUAAUCUGGAUAGAAAUCACGAACCCAUUGAGAUAUACAAAGAAUCGCGAAUUUGAGUUUCCAUGAGCCUGCCAACCAAACGGAAUGCAUAUAGGAGUUGAGGGCGACCUCUAGGGUGCGCAAUCGAAAUAUAUUGUGUAUCGUGCAUGAGUGAGUGCACUCUAGACCGGAUAUAUCAAAUUCUCUCUUCCCCGUGAUUGAACACCCCCUUCUUCCUCUCUAUUUCAUUGUUCAAUUUCUUUUAAAUCAAUAUUUGAUCUGUGUUGAUGGUUGGAUUUGCAGGUGUCAUAAUGCUUUGCUUUCACUCUUAAGUCCUUAUUUUCUUAGGAGAUUUUAUCCCAAGAAUGACAGCAAGGAAUUAUGUUAAUAGAAAAUGAUUAAAUAUAUGGAUUUUCAAUUUGAUAAGAGUUAGUGUAUUUUUUGGCUCUGCUACAUAUAAGAGUUUGGUGUUCAAAUUGAUCUUGAACUUUCAUUGUUAAGGAAAAUAGAUCAAGGGUUGCUAACUAACUGAUACUUUGAAAGAAAGAAAAAAUCACUAAUGAGCACGCUAGCCUCCGCCGGAGUUUGAGAGAGCAAACUCGAAGAAACCUUUGCUAAGUGACAUUAGUCUCCAAUUUUUAUUGAAUUUCCAAAGAGAGCUUAAUGUGUGUUUGGAUGAGGAAAUAUUUUGAUUUGAAGGGAUUCAAAUACUUUGAAGUGAAUUCCAUUGUUUUGAUAAUAAUUUGAAGAAUUUUCAAAAUGAUGGAAAUUUAUGAAGUAUUUUGUUCAACUUAAAUUUAGAAAAUUUCAAAUGACACUUAAAGUUAAGAAUUUCAAAAUUCUUCAUUGUUAUAAUUUUUCAAAUUUUGCAUUUUGGUCCUCAAAUUUUCCAAAAUUUCCAAUUUGACACCAAUAAAUUUCCAAAAAAAAUGUAAAUUGACCCCUCAAUUUUUUCGAAAUUUACAAAUUGACCCCUUAUUUCAAUUUUCAAAAGUUGCCCAAAAAUGAUGACAAUGAAAUUUUUUAUUACUCCAUCCAAAUCUUUAUACUAACAAUUUAGAGUUUUUAGAAAUAGCCUAUUUCAAAAUCCUCUCCUCUAAAGAUGUCCACAUCAUCAUAAUCCUAAUUGGCAUUUGUUCCAAAAAUUUCUUCUAAUUUUUAAUACAAGCUUAAUAAUUAUAAAUAAAUAUUAUUAAAAACCGUUUUUUAUUAAUCAUUAAAUGGUACAUAAAAUACACAGUUGGUUACAAUAAAAUCAUUAUUAAUAUAAUAAUUGUUUCGAUUAAAAUUUAUAUGUUACAUUAAAAAUUUGUACGUUACAAUCAAAUGAUUAUUAAUAUAAUUAUUAUUCAAUUAACAUUUAUAUGGUACAUUAAAAAUUUGGUAGGUUACAAAAUUAUAAUAAUUAACUUGAAUAAAUUAUAUUUUGAAUUUUGGUCCGUUACACUAUAACAGUAACCUACUAAUUAAAAAUUUAAUUGUAGUAAUUAGUUUUUAAGGUUAUAUAAUUAAUUUUUAUUCGUUACAAAAUUAUAUUACUUAAUAUUAAUAAGAUAUUAUUGAAUUUUAAAUGUUAUGAAGUUAAUUUUUUGUAGGUUAGAUGAAAUAUAAUCUAAUCAUUAAUGCACAUUUUAUAAUAUUAAUUACGUUGAUAAUAUUAAUUUUAAAACGGUCAAAUUAAUAAUUAGUAGAUAUUAACCGUUAUGGUACUAUUUUUUUAUAUAAAUAGUAGCGCUUUUAGGUACGAGUACACAACAAUCACAAAAUAUAGUUCUUCUUUUUCUAUUCUAUGGUUCUCUGAUAUCUAUAUUCUAAGUAAUUUCUUUAAUUUUUUCUAUUGCAAAGAAAAACGUCUACGAAACACGACUUCAUCUCUAAUGUUUCGCCAAGAAAAUAAUCGUGGACAUUGGUUGUGAGGGUUGUUCGUGCUUGGUUUGUUCAAGACUACAAAAAUAAAAUAAAAACUACCAUUUUCUAUGGAGUUGGUUCUAAUGGAUCGAAAUUGACUUUUUUCAUACCGUUUUUUGUUUUGCUUUGUUUAAAGUAUAGUAUUUUAAUAUUUGUUAUCUAGGGUGAUCGAAUAUGUGUGUUUAUACGAAGAACAUUGAUCUACAAGUUCAAGGAGCAGCUCCAAGAGGGAAUGGCGUUCACGAUUUCCUUAUUUGAUUUUGUUUGCAACAGUGGUUUGUAUAGACCAUCACACAACGAAUACAAACUGAAUUUUACAAUUAACACAAAAAUCAAAAUAUUUAAAUCUUCUUUGGUCCCUACAAACAUGUAUUCGUUUACACUGCAUAUGAUGUUUUCAAUGAUUCUUACGACAUGAAAUGUAAUUUGAAUCAUAUUUUUAUCAUCAAACUAAUUUCAAACCCCCAUCCCUUUCUAACAACAUGAACUAAAUUAUAUAUUAAUGUAGUUGGUGUCUUGACUGAGGUGGAUUUUGUUUUAAUGAAGACCUCAAAUCAAUUAUAUUAAAAACCCUUCAAGCACAAGAUGUACCCAAUAAAAGAAAAUACAAAGUUCAAGAUGCAUAGAUACAAAAGAACCAAAUCAUGAGGUAGAAUAACCAAGACAAGUAGAAAGAUUAUUUCACCAACAUUUCAACUCAAAAUACAUACAUGAUUGCUUAGCAUUUUGUAUCCAGUAAACAAGAAAUAUAAUUUAUCUAACAACACCAUAAACUGGUUCUUGUGACAAAAAUGUAAGAAUUUUUGUCUUUCCAAAUAAUCCAAAUGCAAGUCAGCAAAAUCAACUGAAAACUAAAACGAACUUUUUUUGGAACAAUUGAGAACCACUGAAAUGAAGAGUACCCUCAAUAAUUAAUUGGAAGAACACAAUAAUUCCAACCACUUUAGAAUAUUAUGUCAUAUGCUACCAAAGAAUUCACACUAAAAAUAAAAAAGAUAAUUUUCCUCUUUUUCACAUCUGCCAGAACAUAAAAAUAAGUCCAUAUUUUAAAUACUCCAUCAAGCUAAGUUGCCAUUUAUUAGAAUUCAGAUAUUCAAGAGCCUCCGCGAAAAGAGAGAGGCAUUUAGAGGAGCUACUUUGUUCCUAAUGAGAUUUUUUAGAGCCAUAGGUUCAUCAUGCUCCACUUGCAACUAGAUGAUAUACCCCUUUGUCAGAGUAACUUUCACCAUGAUCAACUUUAAAGAAACUUAUAAAAAAAUGCUAGCCUGAAAAAUAAUGUUGUCCACCAAAUAACAACAAUAUAUCCCCUGCACCUCAUUCCAAGAAAAAUUCUAUGACAUCGUCUCCACCCCAUCCAACCCUAACCUACGUAUCUCCUCAAAUGGCAUAGAGUUAUUCUCAUAUAACUCAAAAGUUCUUCUAAAUAUAUCACACAAAGGACCACUCUACAACCACGAAUCAUUGCAAAAAAAAAGGAGUAUUUUUUCUCAUUACUCUCCACUAUCAUCAAGUUGUCAUCAAACCAAUUUCUAAUCCCCAUCUCCGCCCCUAUUUUAACAUCAUGGAAGUAAUUUUACCACACACACUCCUAAUUGUCCCCACUCUUCACAUGAACUCACCCAACCUAUUCUAAGAAGCUAAAACUCUAAAAUGCAAACUCAUUGAUCCAUAUCAGCCUCCAAAACUAUUCAUGUAACAAAGAUAAGUUAAAAUUCUACAUUAUAUGAACCCUCAAGCAACAACUAUAUCGACCAAGACACACCUUAUCUCACUUAAACCAAUUGACUUUAAUAGCUUCCGCACUCUCUCCACACUAAAAAUAAUAAGGAUUCAAUAAAAUAAUUUUUACUUAAGUAAGCCUUGAAGAAUGAAAGAAAUUAAACCAAUUGUGGUGGAUAUUGAAAGAGAAUACAAAGAUACAUUAGAAGAAUAUUGAAUUGAAUUCGAAUGGGUGAAAUCAAUUUAUUUUCAUUUUUAAUAUAUAAUACAUUAUGAUAUUUAAUUAUUAUUUUAAUUAUUUGUCAAAUAAUUUUUAAGAGAUAUCAGUUUGAACGUACUCUUUUUUCUAUUUUCUGGUAAAUUUAAAAAGGCGAAUCUGACAAUUUUGUUGCAAAAGUUAAGUUGUUCCUAGGUAAGUAUUUAUAACUAUCAACUUGAUUAUUUAAUACCAUUAAAAACUACAUAUUUAUUCAUUUAGUUGAACCAUUUUAUUUGUUUCUUUAGAGAUUGGAAAACGAUGUUACAAAAUUCUUUUCAAUCAACUAAGAUCAAAUUCAACCAUUAAAUUAUGGAGACAAAAAGAACUAAAGAAAAUGUAUGCUUAUUUUGAUGAAGGAGAUUUUUUUUCCACAAUCCUUUUAGUAAAUACAUUUUCUAAUAAAUGGUAAAACAAUUACCUUUAUUUUUAGUUGCCUGAUCUAUCCCACAUUAGCAUACCUGAAGAAUUUUUUACUCUUACUCUUAGGAUCACCAUUGGAGUUAAAGAACCUGCAUGAAAUUGAGUGGGUUGACAUAGAUCUCCUACCUUUUUCUUCCCCAUGUUUGUGGAGGUUUUAGUUUGUGGAUUUCGGUUAGGAAUAUUAAGAAGGAGGAAAUGUUUGCUUGGAAAAAAGGGGAAACGAUGAAUUGGAAAUCAUAACUACACUAAAAUAUAACGAAAUUAGGUUAGAUUGUUUUAAUUAGGUUAGGGACUCUCUCCAAUCUUAGAUAUAACAAAUAAACAACUACAUUUUAUUAUCUUAAAUUAAAAAAAAAUAUAUAACUUACUUUGACUUUAUUUAAUGUUAUUUCUCCUAAUAUACAUUUUAAUUCAUGUAAGUUUUAUUUUUAAUAUUUUUUUAUUCUCAUGAAACAAGUUCCAAUAGAUGGUACUUUUCAUAAUUUUAUAUUUUUUUAGAAACAUUCGAGAAAACUAAUUGCAUAUAAGUAAAUUUUUGAACUUAGAUAUAUUUUUUUUAUAAUUGAAAUCCGAGAGAGUGAUUAAAUAAAAAAAGUAAUAACUUUAUUCAAAGUGGUAGGUUUUUUAUUAUAUUUUUAUAAGACAAGAGCAAAAAGAAUAAUCUCAAUUAAGUUGGUACCCUACUUUAAUCGAUCACCAGUUGCUCAUAUAUAUUAUUAAAAAAAGGAAAAAAUUAUAUAAAAUCUGGGAGGACAAAAAAUAUGAUUCAGUCAAUCCAAGUGGAUCCACCCUAACGAGUAAUAUAUAAAAAAAAAAAAAAAAAAGAUCAACAAAGUGGAUUCAACCCUAAUUAAUUCUAACAAACGAAUACCAUUAACGAUAGACGUUUGUGAUGGCCAAUCGGGUCUAUAAUUUGGCGAAUUGAUCGAUCUUCAACACAAAAUCAGAUCACGUGCUAUCAACUCCCUACAACAACGACAACAAGCAUUAACGACUCUUUCAAGUCCACACAGUCUCAUGUCAAUCAAGGAUUAAUGGGAUACGAAACACAUACAUAUUCUUGAGAGUGGAAAGUAGAUUCAACCGCCAACACGGUAAUUAACAGAUUCACACGCACUAACUGUUUACUGCUAUGAUCAACAUCAAAUUAACAGUCAUUUAUGGCCCAAUAUAGAACCUCAACCACCUCCAAAGAAAGGGAGGAGAUGGCGGAUUCGAAUGACCCACCAUAACCAAUCCACACGGCGGCGAAAAAUGUCUAAAACGGUGGCAAAAUAGAGGAUAAAGAACGGACCCUUUCGGGUUUCAACCAAACCAAUGCGGGGUUCUGCUAUUGAGAAGCCAACACACAAAACUAAACAAGAUUGCCGGUGACAACCAACAAUUUACGAAUACCAACAACUAAGCAACCACCACCCGUAGCAGAUGCGGUACUGGUUGAAUCGGAAACGAACGACACGAAUUGUUGCGGGAACCGGAAAAAGGGUGGUGCGGGGGGACGACGCCACUCAUCACACCAUCGUUGAAUGUUGGUACAUCGUAAGUGAUGAAGGUUUCAAAAAAAAGGGGGCGAGGUGGCGGAAGAUUUCUAAAGAGAGGGCAGAGCCAUAAUGGUAGAUUAUAGCAGGGGUAAUCAUACCUCUUAUUAAUUAGAUAUAUUUUUAAGAAUAUACUAAUUAUUUAUAUAUUUUUAUAUUUUAAAUAUAGUUGUACUUUUUCUCAAUAUUUUAAGCAGAGUUGGCGUCCCUGCCAACUCUGUCUCAAUUUUAAAUAUGAAAAUAAAGUACUACAUAAUAUCAAAAUUCUGAAUGAAAUCAAACUAAAAAAGUCAAAUAAUAUCUAAAAAAACUUAUUUAUGUGUAAACUCUGUUAAAAAAAAUUUAAAUAAAAUGUAUCCCGUGCUUGGCACGGGGCGUUACACUAGUAAUAUACAUUCUAAUGACAAUGAAUUCUUUAAAAUUUCUCGAUUACCUCAUCUAAACAAACUCUAAUAGUGUUGUCCAACGUAAGAAUCAACUUGACACUUUAAUCCUUUCAAAUAAAAACUUGAUAUUUAGAGGAAUUUUAACAUGGUCACAAGACAUUAAUCAAAAAAAAAAAAAAAAUGGUCACAAUAUAAAAUAAACACUGUUUGGACACACACAUUUAGUAUUAUUUUAAUUAUAAAAAGAAAAUUGAUAAAAGAUUAUUGAAUAUUUUGAGAAUAAUAUCUUGAUGUGUGUGCCAAACACUAUUUAUUUAGUCUUGUGACCAUAGAAUAAUGGUCACAUUUUAAUAGAGUGGGUCAUGGAGGAUAAUCUCAUCGACAUCUUUUAAACCUUGCUUUGCAUCGAAUCUCCAUAAAAGAACACCAAAAUUUAAUUGGGAGAAAUGAGGUUAAUUAGGGUUUAGGUUUGGUGCUCAGAGAUUUAAAUUGGCGAGGGAUUGAAUAUGAGAGAGAGGAAUUGUGUCCAGAAAUAUUGCUUCCCAUCUCAAAUUCUCAGGUUUUUUCUUCAACAUGUCUUGAGAACAAAUUCUGUACACUAUAGCACUUUCGUAUAAACAAUCAACAAUUUUUGCCUUAUGAAUUGAUGUAUAUUUCUUAAACUCUAUAUAUAGUAGAAAACAGUUGCUACUGAAAUAACAUUAUUAUGAUCUAUUACUUUUCCAACAUUAUAAUGUUUUUUCAUACCAUAGAUGCAUUUUCUCAAAAUAUGAAGUCUGCAUUUGAUAUAGCAAGUCCAUCAUCACACUACAAGUACAAGAUACAAACAUGGUAGUUUUUAUUGAUGACAGACAUUACAGCAAACAAACAUACAUAAUAACAUGACCAUACAUAGGAGGAUGAGGGAAUUGGAUUCCUUCUCAUCAAUUAUUCAUAGCAACAAACAACACAACAAACCAUGACAUUUUCUAGAUGGAAACACUGUUGGGAAUGCCUCUGAAAGUCAAUCCUUCUUCACUAGAAGGAUAAAGCAGAGUGUAUGGCAUCUUCACAGGCCCGUAUCGGUUUCUCAAUGACUCGUCAGCGUUCCUUUUAACUAGCUUUUCCUCAAUUUCAGCCAACUUCCUUGCAAACUUCUUGUAGGCCUCUUUUGGCUGUGCAUCAGAAGUCCAAAGAUCACCUUCGAUUCUCUCCCCAAGGUAUUGCUCAUCAGAAGCAUGCCUUGACAAGACUUCAAUAAUGGUAAGGUCUGUAAGGGUAUCACUCUUGGGUGUGAUUGUCUUCAAAUAUGCCUUCUGGUAGUCCUUAGAAAGCUCAGCAUACUCGGCUGAUCCUUUCUCAGGCAUGAAUCUCCUGCUCUUAGUUGGUCGGUUAAGGAUGUAUCCUCCAUAUGGGUAUUGUCCAAAAUUAACAGCUGCAUGAAGUGCUGAAGCAAUCCAUAUAAGGAUGGUGGAAGCUUCGAUCAACUCCGCACGAGUUUGCAUCUUAAACCACCAUGUGGCACUCUUUAAGUCACCAUGACCCACCUCUACAAGUUCCUUCCAGAAUGCUUGGAGUUCAGCAUCUUGUGCAAUGGCAGCAUCUGAUUUGUAGUAGAAACUCACAUAUUCUCCAACCCAUGUCUUGAUAGCAGCCCAUAUCUCUAGUCCAUCCGAAGCAUAAGGAUAAUCCUCAAUCAAAAGGCGAAUGCCGUGUGGUGAAGCUGGAUCCUCAACAGCCACUCCUCUGCAUAACAAGCAAGGUAUAUCACAUUAGCAUAAAUAAAAAUUACUUUUGUGAAUCAAUUGCUUUUUCCUUUAUGAGUAAACAUAGAAUCUAAUGCUUUGUAAUAUCACCUUUUGAGUAGAUCAUUAGGUAGCCCUUGCUCAGUGAAAACCCAAUCCCUAUAUGCAACAGCAGACAUUUCCAAAGCAUAUCCUCCCCACAAGAAUGUUGAUUCUAUAAUACCCUCAGCAUUGACAAGGACAUUCCGUGCAAGUGAAUUUAUGUUCAUUGUGUCACGGUAGUGAGGAAGUAAAAGUUUGUGGACAGGGUGAACCGUACUAAGGUGUCUGUUUGUUGCUAUGAUGAACGGCUCAACAACAGCGUGAGUGUUCAACCUGUCAUACAUGUAGACAUUAAUAAACAACUCACAGAUAGAUAAAUUAUAUCUGUUUCUAUAAAUCUCAUUUACGAAAUUCAUACCAAUGGCUAACAAGUUGGUGAUGGCAAGAGUCAUUUACAACUACAUAAGCUUUAGCAAGUAGCCAAAUAGAAGCUUCAACACCUUCACUUGCAGGGAAGUAAACUUCACUAACAGGUCCAUAACUAUCAUCGUCAGGAUGUGGCUUACUUAGCUCAAUCGCCAGUGGCUUUAAAGUUCCAUCAUUUUGCAAGAAAAGGAUGGUUCUAGCAGCAUAGGCCUUUGUCUCAGUUGCAUUUAUUUUCCUCAAAUAUGGAUAUACUAUGUCAUAGUGAUCAAGGAUGUACAAUUUGUUGUUUUGGAUAGCCUAAUCAACAAAAUAUAAUUUAGUCACCGUACAUCAUUUGAAUAAAAAUGAACCAUUUCUCUAGAAAAACAUUAAUAUCUUGUGUCAUUACCUGUUCUACAGUGAUCCCGCCCAAGUUUGGCUCCAAUUGUUCUUUGGUUAUGGUGCUGGUGUUAUCUCCAUAUUUUUGGCUAUCUAGCUUGCUCUUAUGUGGGAACUCCUGAAUUAAUUGUUUCAAGCAAUAAUGUUACCAAUUAUAGAAAUAACAUAUUGUUUACAAAAUAGUUAACAAUGCUAAACUAUUAACUUUACCGUGAGUUUUUUGAUGAUGUGUGGAUUCACUCCAGCAAUCAUCUCCCUUGCAAAUUCCUCAUCAGUCAUCCACGCAGAAUGAUCGACUACUCAAAAUAAAAAUUUCAAAAGAUCCAUGAACUUGAUUUCUCUAGUAUAUGCAUAUGUUGAUAAGAUUAGGAGUUUGUGACUAAUAUAUACCUUGAACCACUUUAGGUGGUGAAAACUUAAGGGUUGAUGCACCAUCAGAUCGAAAAAGUUCCGUGAACAAUGGUAUUGGGCUAACGUUGCUAAGAAAAUUGGUAGGUAGCUUGAUUCCACCAUCGUAAAGUGACCGCACGUCUUCAAAGUUGUUAAACUCUUUGCUAACUACAGAUUUCAAGGAAG
rnacentral:lncRNA from 1 species